UUCGGCUACCCAUUUAAUACCUAAGUUUCUUGACUAAGUGGACGUUUUAAAACCAGAAAACAAUAACACAUACGACACUAAUUAAUUAUUAUAUAUCAAAGCCUUUGAUAGCGUGGAGCCACUAAGCUAUUAAGCUCAGUACGUAGAUUAGGCGGUGGUAGGGGUGGCAUCUCUCCCAUCGUACCCUCGAGAUGAUGACACUGAAGGAGAGAUUCCGAUAACAUGUAUAUAUUAGCAUAUAACUAGGUUAUUUCUCGUGUUAUGUUAAGCGUCGGAUCAUGAAAUUUUAAAUGUAUCUUUAAAUUUUUGCCCCCGCUGUCUUCUUCCCGGUCUUCUCUCAGUCUCACCGUGAACAGCCGCCCCCAGCGUUCCCUCUCUCCAGAUCUCGCCAACCGGCAAGCAGCAGCCCUUCUCCAGCUGCACGCCCACAGAGCUGGCAGCGUCCACCCUCACCUCGGAGCCGUCAGCCACCAGAAAGAGGAAGAACUGAUCACAGAUCUAAAAAUUGUAAAGAACCGACCGGAGGAAACAGAUCUGAAAACAGAAAACAAAGUAAAAUCAAUUGUUGUGUGCGUUUUUUUGUUUGUUGCAGGUCACUACCGGCAAGGAAAAGAAGGAGGGAGGAAGCUGUUUCAGAUCCACAUGUUUUUCCGGUUUUUCUUGCGGCGGCCAGUGAGUGGCAGUGGCGCGUGGGAAAGAUGCGCUGCCACUGUUCCCGCGCUCAGAAAUCUUCCUCAACACUAUUCCAGUAGAUUCCAGAAGGCUUUGGAUUUUUGAGGGUUUAUUUUGUAAUUUUUUUGAAAUGUAUUUGAUUUAUUUUGAAUUUUGUAUAAUUUGUACUGUGGAUGUAAAAUAUAUAUAUAUAUAUAUAAUGAAAGUGAAUGAGUUGUUUUUUUUUUUAUAAAUGUUUUUUAUGAUAGAAUCGCAAAGAAUAAAGAAGAAUUUAAUAUUUUGAUUUGUUCACGGUCAAGAAUUAUAAACUUACACGUAAGUUGUAUUUGUAAUUUCUAAUGAAAAGAUAAAAUUUUUAAAACUUCUUUAACACAUUAAAGUCAUGAAGCAGUUUAUUUCAGGUAGGGUGUGUUAAGGGUGCUAAUAUCAUCCCUAACCACAACUAGUUUUUUAUCCGUGAAUCUCUAACAAGAUCAGUACAUCCAAGUUUUCUAGUAGCUAUUAAUUAAAUAUUAGGUAGCGAAUUCAACGAAUGAAUCAAGCAAACUAAACGAAAAAUUGCCAAACAAGAAACCGCGCAGGUGACGUGCGACAUUUACCAUACUUUCAUAAAAACAGUUAAACUGACGCAUCUGUUUUAAUUGUUUUGUUAAUAGCUAGGAAAUAAUGGGAUUACAAAAAAACAAAAAUACAUACACAUCAUUUUCACAUGCAUUUAUUUAAUUAUUUUUUUCUAUUACAACCACACACUUCAUGCAUUGAAAACUCUAUAUAAGAAGUUCGAGCUAAGAACAAAUCAGCAGAUAGCAGAACCAAAGCAACAGCCAAUAAACAUGGUGGUGGAAAGCGUUCUUUGCAUGAAUCCAGGAGAUGGUGAAACCAGCUACGCCAAGAAUUCAUUCUUUCAAGUCUCUCUCUCUCUCUCCCCCUCUAACACCUUAUCGUUACUACAUUAUUUCAUAAAAAUGUGAUGUCUUAGUGCAUUUAGAGAGACAAAUUACCCUUUUUUUUUCCUUUCUUUUUGGUAGUGUUAGAAUUUUAUUGCAAGUAGAGAAGACCUCGCGUAGCAACUUAAAUUUUUAAGUUAGGUAGGAUAAGCGAAGUUUAAUGAUAUGAAGGAAGCAAACAGCCAUCGCUGCAUGCAUUUCCUUCUUCCUGGCAUCACAUCUCACCGAAUAUAUUAGUAAUUCUUGGAUUUAUUUUUUUCCUGGAAGCUAGUAUUGCAGAUUAAUUCUGAUGUGGUUUGACAAUUCGUUUCGCAGAAAGCAGUGCUAUCAAAAGCUAGGCCAAUCCUAGAAGAUACCAUCAAGGACAUGUUCAGCACCGCCCUUCCCACUUGCUUCAAACUAGCAGACUUGGGCUGCUCUUCAGGACCCAAUACUCUCUUGUUCGUUUCUGAAAUCAUGGACGUCGUUUAUGAGCUUUGCCAACAACAGAACUGUAAACUGCCCGAAUUUCAGGUGUUUCUGAAUGACCUUCCAGGGAAUGAUUUCAAUACUGUUUUCAAGUCGCUGCCAUUUUUCUACGAGAAGUUCGGAGAAGAAAAGGGAGACUUGUAUGGACAGCGCUGUUACAUAUCAGGAGUACCUGGUUCUUUCUAUCACAGGCUCUUCCCAAGCAAGAGUUUGCAUUUCUUUCAUUCCUCUUGCAGCCUACACUGGCUUUCUAAGGUUUUGUUACUGUCUUUUUUUCAUAAUUACUAUCUCUAAGGUUAAUAAUGAUUUAUCCCAGUAACUGGAAUGCCUAGUUAAGAUAGCGAAAUAUCAAAGACGAACAAAAAUUGGUAGAGAAGAAGGUAAACAAGAUGUUUAUAGCCAUUACUUAGUUAAUAUAAAACCUGAAACCAUUCCUGAAACCUCGUUUAUCACAGCUUAAAAUAACUACAGAAUCAAAUACAAAAUACAUAUAAAUAAUAGCAAUUGCUUGAAUCAAUACUAUAGAAUGUGCUGUUGCCUGUUGUGGUUGAAAUUAGUCACGCGUGAACAUAUACAUGGCAAAGCCUGACCAUAUAUUUUCAUGCCAUUAGGUGCCAGAAGGUAUAUCAAAUAACAAAGGGAACAUAUACAUGGCAAAGGCAAGUCCUCUUAAUGUAUUUAAAGCUUACCUGGAGCAAUUCCAGAAGGAUUUCUCCUUGUUUCUACGCUUACGCUCAGAGGAAAUAAUACAAGGAGGACGUGUAGUUUUUACAUUCAUCAGCAGGAGUACUGAAGAUCCAAGAAGCAAUGAUUGCUGUCUUAUAUGGGAGCUGCUAGCAAAGUCACUGCUAGACUUGGCAGCAAAGGUUAGUUUAUUUUCAUUUAAAUUAAGCAAGUUGCUUGCCUUGUUGGUUAUGGAGAUUAAUUAAUUGAAGUUUCAGGGACUUGUUUUAGAGGCCGAUAUCGAUACCUUCAAUCUGCCAUUCUAUCAUCCUUACGAAGGAGAAGUGAGGGAAAUUAUCGAAAUGGAGGGGUCAUUCGAUAUUAAUAAGCUAGAAACUUUUGCCAUUAACUGGGAUGCUAAUGAUGAUAUCACCAACAACAAUUUUGUGUUUGACAAGGACCAAUGUGGACGAAAUGUGGCAAAUAUUAUAAGAGCUGCUGCAGAACCGAUGUUGGUUAGUCAUUUUGGAGAUGAUAUAACGGAUGAAUUGUUCAAGAGGUACGCAGAGUAUGUAGGUGAACAUCUGUGCGUGGAGAAGACAAAACACAUAAAAAUAGUCCUCACAAUGACAAAGAAGGAGUAGAUUCCAGUGUAGCAGAUGAUGAGCGAAUAAAUUCUUCUGAAGCAGAAAUAAAGUAAUUAUCUAUGGAAGUAGUUUUGGCUCAUUAUGAAUAAAAACAGUGUGCAUGCAUGAAAAUUCUCUUUAAAAAAAAAACAUUUUCGUUCUGGUGUUGUUUAUUUUUUUAAGUGAAAAAAAAAACUUGGAUUCAUCCGAUUUCGAUUCAUAACCAGAGUCUUAAAUAGAUUCCUCAUGAUGUUGUAUAACUAUGCUAUACGUAACUCGUGUUAAAUAUAGAAAUAACUAGUCUAUAAAACAGGACAGCCCAAAUAUUCCUCACUCUUCUUUCUAAGCUCUUCAUAGAAUGAUGGCAGCGACUUGGAAACACCUGAAAUCCUGGCAAUUUACACUGCAUCUGCUGGCAAUGUUCAUAAAUGGCAUCCAUGGUUUCAGGAAGAUCCAACCCAAGUCUGCUAGCUGAAAACAUGUGGGAAAGACUGUUGAACGAACAUGUUCUUGAUACUAGUCUUUAAGAAGUGGCCUAACUUUGGAUAUGACUUCUUCUUCUUUUUCUGAGAAAGGAAGUUUCAAUUUAGACCACAUAGAAUUAAUUUGCAAUGAGAAAUUAUUCCUUCUAUGCUUGAUCAAUUCUUCAUGGUUGGUUCUAACAAACCAUAAAUAAUCUAAUUAUUUAGCCUCAAAUAAUAAUUCACACAAAUAACCAGAUCAAAAACCUCUUAAACUAUUUUAGGAGAUAGGGAUUCUCAUACCUUAGAGUGCUAACUCUUUUUUUUUUACUUCCUCUUCUCUCUAUGAACUCUCUAUUAGAAAAGAAUAUGAGACAUAUCAUUUUAUUUAUAGAAGAAACCUAAUAUCCCUAUUAAUGAUAAAAUAUUACUUUGCACCUUGAAAAAUAUAACAUAUUUUAUUUUAAGACAAUUAUUAAAAAUUUAUGCAAUUAAGUUCUUACUUGAUUUUUCUAGAUCUAGAAUUGUAAUCAUCUGUAUCAAUUACUCUAUAGUCCUUAAUUCUUAAAAUUUAUUUAUAUUCAAGUUAUACUUGAUUAUUAGUCGUCCGUUUAAUUCUUACCAAUGAUUUUUAAUAUGUAUGACCUAUUAGAUUCUUGAUAUAUCGAUUCAAGUAUAAAUCAUAAUCGUAACUCAAACAGAAUUAAAUAAAUUAAACAAUUUAACUUGUUAUCAACUCAACAAAUUGGUUAAUUUAUAUUUGAAAAUCAAGUGCAAUAUAUAGAAACAUCUCAUGAUUUUUCUCAAAUAAUAAAAAAACCAUAUAUGGUUUGACUUAGCUUUUUUAGCGAUUGGUAUCUUAGUGUAACUAAUAUUUUUUAAUUUAGAAUGUUCUGAUUUAGACAUUUGAGCAUGGAGUUUGUAUGUUUUGUUAAAUCAUGUUAGUUCUCAACACCAUAGUCAUUGGCUCUUCAAUAAGAUCCUUUUUCAAAUCCUAUUUUAUUUUGCACAAGGAUUUUAUAAUCAAUAUUAUUUGAGGACAUAUGGAAUAUUUUUUUUAUUUUUUCUAGGAUGAUGAAUCAUAUCUUCUCUCAUAUAGUUUAUAUUAUACUCAAUAUAUGCUUAUUUGUUACUUUUUAUUAAAAACAUAUUUAGUGAGGAUCUAAAUAUAGCAUUCCUUAUAUAAGAUAAUUUGGUGAAAUUAAAUAUAAUGAUCACUUACACAACAUCCACGUAAUUUUUUUCAUAGACACGAAUUAUCUUCUCAGUUUAUCUUUUGGAAUAGGUAAGUCAUUCAUCGUCCAUAGAUGUCAUACAAGUAGUUGAGAAUAAUUAGGAGGCUUAACCUAUUGAUUAGCCAACCAUUUCUAUAUAUAUGUGUAGGGCAAUAUACAAUAGGAAUGGUGGGGGUUACCACACAAUAUUUUCUAUAUAGUUAUAUUCUAUAAUAUACCCCUUCAAGCUGAGGGUGGAGGAUCAACCCGUAACUUGAAACGAAAAGCAGUAAACGAGGCAGUAGGAAACAACUUAGUGAAGACAUCUGUUAGUUGAUCCUGAGAGGAAAUAAAACGAAUCUGAAUCUCCUUCUUCACUACUAUAUCUCGGACAAAAUAAUAAUCAACCUCAACAUGUUUUGUGUGAGCAUGGAAAACAGGAUUCGCAGACAAAUAAGUGGCACCAAGAUUAUCACACCAAAUGAUAGGAGCAGAAAUAGAUGGAAUCUAAAGAUCUAUCAAUAAAUACUGAAGCCAGAUAACCUCAGCAAUGCCAUCGGCUAAGGCUUUGUACUCAGCCUCAGCGAAAGAACGGGCAACUGUACGUUGCUUACUUGAUUUCCACGAAAUCGGUGUCUGGCCAAAGAACACAAGAUAACCACCUGUGGAUUUUCUAUCAUCAACACUACCUGCCCAAUCUGAAUAUGUAAAACCAUGUAAGGCUCAUGCGCUUUGGCUGUUUUUUAAAGGCUAAUGUACAUUAAGAUGAUAUUAAAUCAAAUUUUAAGGGAUGAAAUUGAAAAAAAAAAGAUUCAAACAAAAUAUAUAGCAAUCAAAAGUUUGAGGACCAAAUUUAGUCUCCACCAUGAAAAAGUUGUUCCUCUUAGUUGGAAUUCAAGCAACUAUCUUAAUGUCAAACAUGCUUUAAGUUUAAUUAUUACUGCUCCAAGUAUGGUAUACAAAGUGAAUUGUAUGGACAAUGAUAUUGCAAUUUUCUUGCUAGCUCCUGGAUCCAGUAACAAUUAAUAAUUGAUAUAUUUCAAGAAUUGUACUUGGAUGUUGAUACUCAAUAGAUGGAUAUUUGAUGCUUAUGAUUUUGCAUAACUCCAUAUGUAUUUGUGGAGACAUGAAUUUUGUUUCAACUUUCCUUUGAUUGUGACCUUAUUGUCCUUUUUUAAUAAUAAUCGAGAGGAUAUAUUACUUUGCUAGGUUAUGAAAUUUUUUAGGGUAUUUGGCUAAUUAAAAAUAAUUAAGUUGGUCUUUAAGUAUCAAUUACCAGAUUUGGAUUCAACCUUUGAAUUAAUUCUCCAUUGUCUUGCUCUAUGAUUAAAGACUUUUGAAGCUAAAUUUAUGUAUACAAGUUUGGAUCUUUUUAGAGGUCCAGAUGGAAUUUUAGAAUGGACCCAUAUGUAGAACUUUUUUGUUUAGAACGUCUUCAUCUGCUUUGCUUUGUUCUUUUUAAUUUCCAUGUAACCAAGAUAAUGUUUUCCUUGUUUUCUAGUUUGCCAUCUCCUUAAUGGCCUUGGAAUCCUAAUAAUAUUUCUUCAAUUACUAUAAAAAGAAAAAAAGAAAAAAACAUAUAGUUUGUGUUAGAAAAUAAUAUAAAUCAUAUCUUGGGUUCUCACAUAAAAUUUUAAAUUUUUAGAUUGAGAUGAUUCUUUGACAUAAUAUUAGAGUCUUGAUGAUCAAAUGAUUACGAAUUUUAAUCUAACUAUCCUCAUUUUCUCUUUUAAUUAAAAUCUAAUUAAUAGCAAAAGACUCACUACCCUCAUACUCUGUUCUAAUUAAAAUCUAAUUAAUAACACAAGAUAGUGUGGACUAGUGCAAGUUUCAAACCAAAGGACUUUCAUUUGAUGUGGUGUGUUAGAGAAUAAUAUAAAUCAUUUAUUGGGGUCUCACCCAAAAGCUUAAGCUUUUAGGUUGAGAAGGUUCUUUGACAUGGUAUCAAAGCCUUGAUAACUAAAUGGUUACGAAUUUGAAUCUCACCACCCUCAUUCUCUCUUCUAAUUCAAAUCUAAUUAAUAGCACAAGGUAUUAUGAAGCCUUCACCACCUUCAUUAUCUCUUCUAAUUAAAAUUUAAUUAAUAACACAUUCUCUCUUCUAAUUCAAAUCUAAUUAGGUAAUGUGAACCUAUGCAAGUUUCAAGCCCAAAUAGCUUUCACUUAAAGAGAUGUGGUAAAGAAUAAUAUAAAUAAUAUAUUGGGGCCUUACCCCAAAGAUUAAUCUUUUAAGUUAAGAUGAUUAUUUGAUAUGAUAUCAGAGCCUUGAUGACCAAACGAUCAUCAUAUCUUUGUGAUUUUUUUGUUUUUUUUUUGUUGUCCAUAAACACCUACCAUACCAAUUUUCUUACAACUAUUUGCAUGUCUGAAUACAAGCAUGAUAGCUUUUGUUCUUAUUGGCAUGAACAUACUUGUAUUCUUUUGUAGUUGUUUUCCCUGAUGAAUGUCAUAUAUUAUAUCAUUUUCAUAUUUUACAUGACAUGGACUUUUAACUUAUAUGUAUUCCUACAAAUUACCAGAGAUGAUUUACUUGUAACAAUUUACAUUUUGUUCUAAAAUUUCAUCGCUAGGUAUAAGAAAAGUGAUUUAAUAAGGCUUGACAUUCAAAUCAACGGUGAUCCUGUUGAACCAUUUCAUCGUAAUUCUAAGUUUUUCUAUAUAGUUGCUAACAUGAAAAGAAACAAAAACAUUUUCUCAAAGUUCUUUUAUGCAGAUGCCUUCACACCUCCUCUUCAAAAUUAAAGAGGCAACAUCUUCUUUUUUCUUAGUUUUGUUUACAAGACCACAUCACAAGUAAGCUUCACUAGGAGAGGUGGGCUAUAAGAAGAUAAGUGUAAAGAAAGCUUAUUGGCUGGAAAGACCAGUUUCAAUGGAAAGACCACAUCACAAGUGACCAGACGGUUUCAAUUUUAAAUUUUUUAGAAAGGUUUGGAAUUUGAUCUGUUAUGAUUUAUAUGAUAUGAUGAAUGAAUUCUUCCAAUCAGGCAAGCUAUCGAAAGGUGUAAACGAUCCAUGUGUUACUUUAAUCCCUACAAAAAAACACAAAUGGAAUUCUUGUAUUACAAACCUAUUAGCAUGGUGAACGAUAUAUACAAAUGAUGGAAAAUCAGUGAAAAUCAGACAGCAUUCAUUACAGGUCAACAGAUUGUUGAUGGUUUUAUGAUGACCAAUGAAGUAAUUCACAACUUGAAGAAAAGCAGCAGCACAUGUAUGAUUUUUAAGGUAGACUUCCACAAAACCUUGAUAUUAUUCUAUGUGAGUUCAUAGAUGAAAAAAUGGGUUAUAUGGGCUUUGGCAAAAAAAUAAAGAUCACUAAUUCAUGAAUGCUUAUCAACAUCAAAGAUGUCUAUCCUUAUUAAUGGUUCUCCCUGUCAAGAGUUUUAGGUUAGUCGUGGCAUUCGCCAAGGUAACCCUUUGUCGCCACUUUUGUUCAUCAUUGCAAUUGAGGGGCUUUCACUCCUAUUUCACUAGGCUUCAGCUAAAGAUUUGUUUAAAGGCAUUCAGAUGAAUAAUGGUGAUAUGAUUUCUCACCUUCAGUAUGCAGACGAUACCUUAUUCUUUUCUCCAAAUGAUCUAAACUCUCUGAAAAUAGUCAAGAGGAUCCUCCGGUGGUUUGAAUUAUUUUCUAAACUCAAAAUAAACUUUUAUAAUAGUUCAGUGAUCAAUAUUAAUAAAUGAGGUAUAGAGUACAACUUUGGCAAACUCAUUUUAUUGUAGACAUGACUUAUUGCUUGUCACUUACUUGGGGAUGGCUUUAGAAUGUAAACCUAAAGUAUGUCUACUUGGAAACCAAUUAUUGUGAUAUUUAGAAACAUGUUGUCAAUGUGGAGAGGAAAAUUGCUUGGUAUGGCCAGAAGAAUAUGCUUAAUCAAGAGGGUGUCGCAAGGAUUCUUACCAUCAUUUAGAGAAGAUUUCUAUAGACGAGUGUCUCUAAAUAGGGAAAAAAUUACAAGGUUUAAUGGAGUAUUAUAAUGAGAGAGAAAGAUAGAGGUGUUUGGGUAUUGGUUCUUUGUUGAGUAAGAACAAAACAAUGCUUUAUAAAUAGAUGUGACAAUUAAGCUCAAUAGAAGAUUCUAGAUGGAAAGAAUUAGUGUUGUCGAAGUACCAGCUCAGUUUUAUGAAUGGAUUGGCAUUAUUUGAUAAUAACCUCUCAGAUAUAUGGAGAGGCAUAAUGUUAGUGGUUAAGUAAGAGGAAAUGGUAUCAAAUGCAAUUACAAAUUGUGCUAGGUUCAAGACGGGAGAAGGUAAGACUACAUCAUUUUGGGAGCACUUUUGGGUAAGAGAUAGGCCUUUAAAAUUACAGUUCUCGUGUUUGUAUAAGUUAUCUAACAGAGAAGAAGGAAAGGUAAGUGACAUGGGAUUGUGUUUAAAUGAAUACGGACAUGGAAGCUUCAUUAGCAUUAGAAAUUAUUUUUUUUAGCAGGAACAUGCAUAAAAUUUAUGUUACUCUAGAAGAAGUGCACCUUUCACAAAAUAAAUUAGAUCGAAAGAUUUAGAGUUUAGGCAAGGAUGACAACUAUGUCAAAUUAAGCAGUUGUCUUAUUGAUAGGAUUGUUUUUGGAGGAUCUUGUCAUUUCAAAUCUAAUGUAUUGAUUAAAAUAGCUUCACCCAAAAUACAAACAUUUAUAUGGCUGCAGGGGGUCCCAACUCAACUUUAUACAAGUGACUUUCUUCUCAAACACAGGUUACUUCUAGUAAAACAAUCUAUAUGUUCAUUUUGUAUAGUAGAAUGAGAGACUUCAAAUCAUUGUUAUUUCAUUGUUCUAGUACUUGGCAUUAUGGGUAAAAAUCUUACAAUGAUGCAUCCCUCAUACUCUAGAUUGUUUUAUUAGUCAUGGUAUUUUUUAGUGAAAAGUACAUUUCAGACUCGGGCUUGGAAUUUCCUUUCAUUUGGCAUAGCAUAAAAUGAUUGGCUCAUAAUAAAUUAUUUAGUUUUUAACAAGGUGAAGCCAGAUUGAAAUUCUAGUUUCUCUUUGAUCUUGCAUAGAUUAUCAGUUUAGCUAAAGUGUAGUGAACCUAAUUUCAGCUAUAUUGGUAAUGAAAUUAUUCGUUAUGCAGAAAGAAUUCGGAUGUGGACAGAUACAAAUUAUUAAUUUGGUUGCUCUUUCCUUAUAUAUUUCUCUUUAUUUCCUAUUUUCUUUUUUUCUAACACAUUCAUUUUUUUUUCUCUAAAUGAUCUUUCAAAGUUUUAGAGGUCAUCAUCUAAAUGAUUUUUUUUUUAUUAAUACACUCGAUUUUUAUAUAAAAAAACAAAUGAAACAUUGGUAAAUGAGGUAUGAAAUCUUAGAAAGAGGAAAAAAUUUCAGAAACAAUGAUAACUAGGUUUACUAAUGAACACAAAUCGCUAUUUCCUUGGACAUUUACAGGUUCAUCCUGUGAUAUAAAGGUUUUAGAUUCAUCAUUGAUCCAAACGAAUGAGAUAGCUACAAGUACUGUUGUUACUAAAUAGCUUUUUUUUCUCUCUUUUUUUAUAACAGUCGAGACUUUAAUCUGUUUGUAGCCUAAGUGUUUCCUGCUGUAACAAUGUUUCAACACCUGCUAUAUAGUUUCAGAGAUAUAAAAGCAUGAUAAUUCGGCAUACUCAACACUAUCCAUCCAUUCUGAUUCUCGUAGAAAAAGAAAAAAAAAUUAUCCAGUAUGGUACUUAACAACAUCCUUUCGUUUCAGGCAAGUAUAGGUGAAAAAGUCAUUGCUAGUGAAUCUUUAUCAGCAAUAAAAGAAUUUCCAGGCCAAAUGUUAUGGUGAGAUCACACUCUGCAGCUUCUGAGAACAUUGUACACUCAACUAAGUCAAUUGAUAUGUGCUUCUCUCCUUUCUCAAUCAUCUGGCAUGAGAUAUCUACUUGUUUAUGUUUCCCCCGAAUAGAAUUCCUUAAUUCAGUGGAUUUUUGUUCUACAAGUAAAGCCUAGUAGAUGGCUUAUAAGUGAUCAGUGCUCCAUACUUACAUUACAAGCAUUUCUUUUCAUUCUCUAUCCAUGUAGGUGGAGAAAUUACAAGGAAGAAGAAAUUGCUUAGGAAAUAGGUACUUCAUAUUUAAUGUCUUUUUGAUACUCCUAUAUCCAAUUAAACUGUUUGCUAAAUUCUAUUAUAAGCCCUCUGAAAAUUCACAAUCUUUUUUAGAAAAUUGAAUUAAUUUUUUCGAUAAAUGUUGCUGUCCCAAAUUAUUCAUGUACCAUUGUCCCAAAGUUCAUAAAUGUUUUAGAAAAUUAUUGACCAGGAACUGCCCUAAUCAGUAGGCGAAGUGGUUACCCUUGGCCGAAUAAUGGUAGAACACCAACUACCAUUCCGCCACCAAGAUGACACCUUAUAAAGUAUUAUACGGAUUCCCCCCUCCUAUACACAUUCUUUACUUCCCUAAAGAUUCAGCGGUGAAUUCAGUGGAUGAAUAUUUAUCUACAAAGAAAGAGGUUAUUAAAAGGGUCAGAACUCAUCUCUAAAAUGCCCAGAACAGGAUGACCAUGAUGGCAAACAAAAAAUAAGAAGUGACAGAAGCUUCGAGAUUAAGGACUAUACGCCUACCUAAAGCUAUAACCAUACAGGUAACAAUCAGCUACUCACAGAUCAUCAUAAAAACUAGCUGCCAAAUAUUACGGGCCUUACCAGGUGGUAACAAAACUAGGAAGAGUGGCCUACGUACGAGCUCGAUCUGCCUCCUUCAACCUUGAUUCACUUGGUGUUCCACCUGUCACAACUCAAGAAGCAUGUAGGAAAUCAUGCAGUGCAGAGCACCCUUCCUAUAUUGCCUCGAACACCUGACCUCCAACAGAGGACCAUAUUAGAAAGAUGAAUUGAAAGAUGAAAGAACAAGGUGGUCACUGAAGUCCUAGUUUAUUGGGAUGGUCUCUCUCCUGCUAAUGCAACUUGAAAAUUCACUGAUGAGUUGAAGCUACAGUUUCCACAAUUCAACCUUGAGGACAAGGUCUGCUUCAACGGGAGGCAAUUGUUACUAGCCAAAGAAGAUGAAGAGGAAGAAAUUAAUCCUUCAAAUUCAAACUAACAUAGCCGUUGCAGCAUCCUACGCACCGUUUCAUUUAUGUCCUUAAAGUGCACCAUUUCAAGUAGUUAAAUAAGUUUUUUUUCUUUCAGUUGAAUUAUGCACCGUUUUGUUAAAGCUACUCCAAUUCCCGAAUGUUCAUGGGAACAAUUCUAGAUAGGGGCUUCGGCUAUAUAUGUAACGAAUUUGCCUAGGAAAGGCAUCAGAAAAGAAAUGAAAAGUUAAUGACCCUCCUGGAAUUCAGGAAAACCAACAAAGUCCUGCUACCCAUCUUUCUCAGCAUCAAUGGCUGAGUCUAAGAGUCACUCCUCUUCUCCCAUUUCCUGUCAGCUAACCUUCCCAUUAGCUUAAGCUGUUAGGUGAGGUUCCAGGAUAUGAUUUAUAUUAUUCUCUAACAAUGGCAACCUGAUCCUGUUUCUGUGAAAUCUUCUCGUUUUAUCGACAAAAAAAAAAAAAAAAAACCCUAGAAUUAAUAGCAGCAUGGUGCUAUAACCUUCUGUUUAUGAUAGAAAUAGGAUCAGGUUGCCAUUAAUUCUAGGUUUAUUGCUGUAUCUUCUGUACCCUCUGAGCAUUCUGUAAUGUCUCAAGAGAUGUAUCUAGUUACAUAAAUGGUUAGAUAUAUCUGGAUGUAAGAACUCAAGAAAACUAAAACAUACAACAGAGCCUAUGGCAAUCUGACCCAAGGAAGGCUAGAUAAUCAAUUUAACAAUCAUACUUAUGAAAAUAUAUUAUUCCAUAGAAAAAGAUAAAGCUACAGUUGGAUGAGGAUCAUCGAAAUUUAAUUUCCAUGUCUUUUCUAUAGACCCCUUGCCCAAUGAACAUGAUCUAACCUUACGCGUUAAAAAAUACAGAAGCAAAUUAACCUUAAAGGUGACACUGCUACAUCAGUAAUAAUCAAAUUUGGCCAUCAUUAGAUGGGAAAGAAUACGCAUCAUCCCUUAAAAUCUCUGCAAGAAUCAACUCAAUAUCAUCAUCAACUUCCUUUUGUUUACAAGCUGCUUCGAAAUCUUUUAUCAGAUCCGCCAUCAAACCCUCAAGAGUAACACCUUCUGAGCCCUCAGAUAACCCAUCAUUGGUCUUGGACUCGUCAAUAGUUGACUCGAUAUCCAUCAAACAUUCUUCCAUGUUUUCUUAAUCUUCAUCAUCACAAGGAAGUACCGCCAAAAGGAAGAGACGCAUUAAUUCUUCAACAGGAACGUCAGCCAUUGAAGAAUCUAUUGCUUUCUUGAAUAAAGAAAGUGGUAGAUCGAUCGAUUUGCAAACUUUAGUUGAAAAGAAAAAAAGUCGGAGAGAAAGACCCAUGAGUAGGGAAAACUGAGAACUAGGUUUCGGCGAUCUAGGGCUAUUGUAUUAUACUAUAUUUAUUGAAGUUUAAAGGCAGCGGGUAUAUACUUGUAUAAAAGUUUUUUAUCAUAUGAUAAUUAUUAUUAACGUUGGGGCCUGUUGUUGAGAGAACACACACACACAAAAUCAUAGUGGGUUGGGUUCACUACUAGAAAACCGGAGAAAACCAACGGAAUUACUGACGAACUUUUUUCGUCGGUAAUUUUUACUGACGGAAAUAAUUCCGUCUCUAAUUCUGUCUGUAUAUACCGACAGAAAAUAUCCGUCGGUGAUACGGUCGGUAUAUACCGACCAUAUCACUGACGGAUUAAAUAGUUUUUUGGAAAGUUGCAAUGGUGUGAUGACGUGGAUCUUUUUCAGACGAUUUUACCGACAAAAUGACCGAGGGAUUCAAACCGGGAUAGCCGUACAGCGACGUGGCACAUUCACCGGCGGAAUCACCGACGGAACGUGUCUGUUAGUGAUUCCAUCGGUAAAAGCCAAUAUAUACCCACUCUACCGACACUCUCUUCCUCUAUUUCUCCUUCUUCUUCCCCAUCCCACCUCUCCCCUCCCGAAAUGCAGCCAACCACCCAUCCCAACUCUCCCCCUCUUCUCAACACAAGCUAGCACUCAAGUUUCUUAUACUUUUGUACGUGGUCAGAACAAUAUCCAUUAUUGUGGAUUUUAUCAUUUUUUGUAAGUAAAUCUAUCCUUUUUAGUUUUAACAUUUAAAUGUGAAUUUUAUUGUUUUUUUAGUAUAUGUUUUUUGUUAACGUGUGUACUUUUUUUUAUUGUCAUUUGUCAAAGAAACUUAUAGUAUGAAUGUAUAAUUUUGUAGUUGUUAUAGUUUGUUAUAGAUUUUGUCAAAUUAUAUUUGUUUGUAAAUUGUUGAAACUUUGUUUGAAUUACACCGAAUUAGAUGUGUUGUGAUGAAAUAAAUAAUAAUUUGUUUAACGGGUCCGUUUUAAUUUUUAUCAAUUUUAUUGCAAAGUUGUGAUUUCUGUAAAUUUAUAUAUGUAUAAAUUUAUAUGGAUGUUGAUAGUUGAUAGUUGAUAAUUGAUAAUGAAUAUUUAACAUAAGUGUUUUUUUAGUUUGUUGGAUAAUGUCGGGGCAAACCAAUAUUUUUGUUAUGUUUAUUUAUGUAACAUAGUUAAUUAAUACAUGUUGUCGUCAUAAUUUUAUAGAGGUUCGAUAGAAGUCAUGGAUGAUCAUUCAUGGAUGUAUCGGGACUCACCCCAAGGAUUGCAGAGGAUGGAUUAUUGUAAUGGGGUUCAUGGUUUUAUUAAGUUCGCAACAUCUAUCCCGAGGAAUUUUACUGAUGGCGGUAUUAGGUGUCCAUGCAGGAAGUGUAAAAAUAAAAAGUUUUUGGAUCAAGAUGUUGUAACGAUGCAUCUUCUAACCAAAGGGUUCAUGAAGGAUUACAUGUGUUGGUAUGCACAUGGGGAACUAUUUGUUCCUAAUGAGAGCAUGGUAGAAAGGGUGGUUGGGUCAACUUCUAGUGCUAGCAACAUGCAUGAAGUUGGAAAUGACAACAGUAAUCCUUACAGGAACAUGGUUAUGGAUGCAAUGAGAAUGAGUGAAGGUAAUGUCAGUGAAUGUCCAAUCGUAGAUGAAGAACCUAAUGCAGAUGCAGCAAGGUUUUUUGAUAUGUUGAAAGAUUCUAACGAACCAUUAUGGGAUGGCUGCACAAACCACAGUAAAUUAUCGGCUGUAGCACAGGUGUUCACCAUCAAGUCAGAUCACGGGUUGAGUGAUGCCGGUUAUGACAAGAUUAUCGAAUGGGUAAGAAGCAUUUUACCUGAAGGGAACAGGCUGAAAGAGAACUUUUAUGCUGCCAAGUCCAUGAUGAAACCCCUCGGUUUAGGAUACCAAGAAAUUGACAUGCGCCCUAACUUCUGCAUGUUAUACUACCUUGAAAAUGCUGAGCUGACCGAGUGCAUGACAUGUGGGCAUUCUCAUUACAAACCCAAAAUUGGUAAAGGGAAGACUCUCGUGGCAUAUAAAAAAACUUAGAUACUUCCCAAUCACACCUAGACUGCAGAGGUUAUUCAUGUCACCAAGGACUGCUAAGCACAUGAUAUGGCACCAAUCACAUCAUGUGGUUGAUGGAGUGAUGGUGCAGCCUUCUGACGGCGAAGCCUGGAAACACUUUAACAGUGUGCAUCCUGACUUUUCAGCUGAAUCAAGGAACGUGCUUCUUGGGUUGUGUACAGACGGAUUCAACCCAUUCAGUUCAUUUGUUGCUCCUUAUUCUUGUUGGCUGGUCAUACUGACGGUUUAUAACUUGCCACCGGGGAUGUGUAUGAGGUCGGAGUUCAUAUUUUUAUCUAUGGUCAUACCAGAUCCGAGCAGUCCGGGGCGGAAUAUAGAUGUUUGUCUUCGUCCAUUGAUUGAUGAGUUGACGCAGUUGUGGUCCUCUGGAGCUUUGACUUAUGACAUCUCGAGGAAACAGAAUUUUUUUAUGAAAGCGGCUUUGACAUGGACUAUCAAUGAUUUUCCAGCUUAUAGAAUGGUUUCUAGUUGGAGCACGCAUGGAAAGCUAGCAUGUCCAUACUGUAUGGAGAACAACAAGGCAUUCAAGCUAACAAACGGGAUAAAGCUUCUUUUUUUUACUGUCACUGUCAUUUUUUGCCACCAAAUCACAGGUACAGAAAGAACAGAAAGGAUUUCUUUAUUGGCAGAGUUGAAAAGGAUGUUGCACCCCCGUGUCUUUCCGGUGAAGAUUUGCUUGAUGUUGUGUCACAGUAUGGUGACAUUGUGUUUGGUCUCCAAUCAGGUAAGCAGAAGUCUCCUGGUUUUGGUUUGACCCAUAACUAGGUGAAGCGAAGUAUCUUUUGGGAGCUUCCUUAUUGGAAGACCAAUCUUCUCCGUCAUAACCUUGGCGUCAUGCACAUUAAAAAGAACGUGUUUGAGAACAUUUUCAACACCGUCAUGGAUGUGAAGGGAAGACAAAGGACAACAUUAAGGCUAGAUUGGAUGUAGCGUUGUUCUGUAACCGUAAAAAUAUGAAGUUGGUUUGUGAUGGGUCACGGGUCACAAAACCAGCUGCAUUGUUAGAGAAAAACACACAACUACUAGUCUAUAAAUGGCUUAAGAGUUUGUGUUUCCCCGAUGGGCAUGCCUUGAACAUAUCAAGGCUGGUUAUUACGGAGGAAUGCAGAUUAUAUGGAAUGAAGAGUCAUGACUGCCAUGUGUUUAUGCAAACAAUCAUCCCAUUAGCUUUGUGUGAUUUGUUUCCAAAGAGGAUAUGGGAUGCACUAACAGAGAUCAGUCAUUUCUUCAGAGAUAUAUGCUCCAGCAAGUUGAAUGUUGAUUACAUUGAGAGGCUUGAAACGAAUAUCAUCGAGACAAUAUGCAAACUUGAGAUGAUAUUUCCUCCAUCAUUUUUUGACUCAAUGGAGCAUCUACCCGUACAUUUAUCGUUUGAGGUAAAAGUUGGAGGACUGGUCCAGUACAGAUAGAUGUAUCCAUUCGAGAGGUUAGAUAUUACAGUUGCUAUGUAAUUCAUAAUUAAAUGUUUUUUUAUUUUUUUAAUUGAUAAGUUUUUAUUAAUUAUAUAUAUAUAUAUAUAUAUAUAUAUAUAUAUAUAUAUAUAUAUAUGCAGGUACUUGUUCAGUCUUAAAAAAAAGAUUGUACUAUUUAUGUCCUAUUUAACUGUAAUGAGCUGAGACCUUAAUUUUAUUAAGUAAGUUGAUGUUCGACUUAAACUUUGUCAAGAGUGUACUAUUUAUGUUUUAUGAUACCAUAAACUCAUAUAAUUUGGAACAACCUUGCAGGCAACAUCGACGAUACUUACUGUCCAAUAACUCACAGCUAACCGAAUCCCAGAUCUUUCAAUUACAAGAUGAAUAAUUUUCCACAUGGUUUAGAACAUAUGUAAGUCUUAUCACAAACUCAUUAUCUCUUGCAAUGUAAUUAAGUGUACGUCAAUAUUACAUAAUAUCCGUUUAUUGAUUAUUGAUGUAUUUAAUAUACAAGGUUUAUCAAAUGGGAGGUAGUGCUGCUAUUUCACUGUCUUUACUAAGCCUAGGCCCUGAAAGAAAAGUCAAGUGCUAUAACGAGUAUUUUGUCAAUGGAUAUGUCUUUCAUACUAAAGAAUACGGGCAUGGAAGAAAGACAUACAACAGCGGUGUUUGUAUUAAGGGAUCGACUUCUAGUGAGUUUGAAGUUGACUACUACAGUAGAUCAGAAGAGGUCAUCGAACUGCAAUAUCAUAGCGAGCAGAAUAGAGUGUUUUUAUUCAAAUGUUAUUGGUAUGACACAACUGACAGAGAAUUCAGAGUAGUUCCUCACUAUGGUCUCGUUGAAAUCAACUCAAAAGCUAGACACCGCAACGUAAACGAUGUCUUUGUUUUCACAAAGCAAUGCCACAAGUUUAUUACACAUACACCCCUUCCUUUAGAAAGGACCGAUCAAGAGUUGAUUGGUUAUCCGUUUUAAAAACAAAACCCAGGGGUCGUGUCGAGGUUGUUCAAGAUGAGAACGAAGACACAAGUGUGAUAGAUGAAGUCUUUCAAGCUAGUGAGUUGGUUGAACCAUACCGAGUUGCUCCUUCGAUUGACUUAGAAGAAAAUUCAAAUUUUCAUGUUUUCGACGAUAGUCUUGUUGAUUUUGACGCAGAGGAGUUGAAUGCUGUUUUGAGCUCUACUAGUGGACUAGAGAAUGUUGAUGAAGAAGAUGAUAACCACAUUGAAGAGUGCGAUGAAGCUGAUGAUAACAAUUCAAUUGAGGACAAAGAUGAAAAUUCUGACUAAACAUGUUGUAAAGCCUUAUUUUUAUAAUGUAAUAUUUUGGAACAUGAAAUAUUUAUUAUUCUUUAAUUGUUAGCUCCUGUUAUUGUAUUGUGUGUGCUGUAAGUUUGCAAUUCAAGAUUUUAUGCAGGAGGAUAGACAAAAAUACAUGGAGAAGCUGUAGAAAUAUUGACAGUUUCAUCGAUGGGUACACCGACGGAUUGGUACCCAUCGGUAUUUUACCAAGAGUUGGAAAAAUUACGGACUUGUGCCACAAUUACCGACGAGUACACUGAUGGAUUCACCGACAGAAAGCUCACAUCCCGAAGCACACGCCUGUCAAAGGCGUGGUCGAUCGGCACGUUUACCGAUGGAAUCGCCGGCGACACUAUUUCCGACGGAUAGAAAAGUCAGGCGGGAUUUUCAAAACUUUUGGUGCGAAUAUCAAUUUAUUACCGCCAAAAAUUACCGACGGAAUUUAAUGCCACCGACAACAAUUAAUUGUCUAUCGGUAACACCGUCAGAAAAAUUGGUAUAUAAAACCCCCUCCCUCCAUUUGGUUCAUUUUUUCUCUCGGCUCUCAUCUCUAUUUCUCUUCUCCUCUCCGUUUGAGUUUAGUUUUUGGAAGAGAUUUUUUUGUUUUGGUGGUAGUUUUAAACAUAUUAGAAGGUAUGUAAUCUUUUUUCUUUAUCUUUGUAUAUUUUUUAUUUUUUUAUUUUAAUUAUGAUUUUUUUUUUGUUCUUUGUUUUGUGUAUUGUUUGUAGAUAAAAUCUUAAAAUCAACACACUAUUAAGGUAAGCAUUUUUUAUUCCUAAAUUUAUUUUGAAUUGAUGUAGUGUUUUUUUAGUUUUGUGUAUUGUUUGUUUUAUAUUUAGGAUGUUUUGUGUAGUGUUAUUUAGUUUUUUCAUUUUAUUUAUUAAUUUUAGGAUAUUAUUGUUUGUAUUGCAAUAAUUGUUAUUGUUGAAUUUAUGUUUUGAAUGUGAAUUGAAAUAUAGAAUUAAAUUUAAUUAGUUUAUAUUAAUUUUAGGAUAUUAUUGUUUGUAUUGCAAUAAUUGUUAUUGUUGAAUUUAUGUUUUAAAUGUGAAUUGAAAUAUAGAAUUAAAUUUAAUUAGUUUAUAUUAAUUUUAGGUUGUAUAUAUGAUGUUGCUGGAGAUUAUAUGGAAUGUGGUUAUUGUAAAGAUUGCAGGUUUGAAAACUGUGGAUAGUCUCCAAUAUAGGGGAGGUGCUGCCAAAUUUUUGUUAAUGAUUGAAUUUCUAUAGAUAUUAGGUUGUAUAUAUGAUGUUGCUGGAGUCAAUUGGAUUGUGGUUAUUGUAAAGAUUGCAGGUUCAAAAACUGUAAGUAGUCUCCAGUAUAGGGGAGGUGUUGUCGAAUUGUUUUUAAAUAAUCAAAGUUAAUUAUGUAAUAAUUCAUAUACAUUUGUGUAGAUGCGUCGAAUGAAAUCUACAGCACGUCAUCAGCAGACGGUUGUAACUAGUUCUUCUAGUAGCGAGAAGGACAUUUCCUUAAGUGCUGAUCACGGCGAUGCAUCUGCGUCAACUUGUGAUGCUGCCUCUUCAAGCGCGGUUUCACAGCACAGAGGCGGUGUGCCUUCACAGUGGGGUCAAUUCACCCGCAAGUAUCAGACACAAUGGAAGGAUGACCUCUCAAUGUAAAUUUGUUUAGGUUUUAGUUUUUUUAUAUACUCAUAACAUAAUUUAUGAACAACUAAUUAAUUUUUUAUUAUUUAAUUUCAAGUUCACAAACAUUGAGGUUGUUAGGACAAUUACAUUGGCGUUUAAAUCGUCGAUGGAGAUUUCAUUGUUUCAAUGGAGUCAGGUCUCCAGACAUCCUGAGUAGAGACCUAAUAUCGAUGCUUGGUUUCAGCGAUUUCAGGUAGGUGUUAAUUUUUAAUUUCUACUUUAUUUUUAAUAAAUAAUUUUUGUAAUUUUAUAUCUUGUACUAUUUUUAUUUUCAAUGAAUUAUUUAUAUACACAGAAUAAAUUUGAGUGGGAUAGCGCGAACAACAAUGUUGUUAGAAGGGUAUGGGAGAAUCAUGUGGCAACUAGGUAACAUCGAAAAUAAUAUUUAUUUUUUAUUUAUAAUGUUAUGUUCUAAAUUCUAAUUAGUUACUAUGGAAGUAGGUUGCUUGAUUUUUGGUAUGACACCCAAAAAAAGGCGAAAAGAUAUGCGAGGGACAACGGUCUUGAAGGAUAGAAUGAGGGGGCGGUUUGGCGGGAAUUCAAACCACCAUUCAUCUCGGGAGAUAUAUGGGUGGCAUAUAUUGAGCACGUGACGUCUGAGUGGUUCUCAUGGCGCUCACAAUCCGGAGCCGACAAUCGGAACCAGAAAUUCAUGGUUCGGUGACCACGCACACCGCCAGCUUCGUCCCGUUCAGCGCACAUGCGAAACGGAUGGUAAGAUUAAUUUAAAUGAAAUAUAUCGUUAAUUAAUUUGUUGUUGCUUAUCAAUAUAUUUAACUUGCAAUCUUUUUUUUCCUUACAGACUACGUCUCUUGUACAUGAGCUGAGUUCAAUGGAGCUAUUUGUAGAGACGCAUGUCGGACCCGACAUCGCGGCGGCCUUAAAAAUAAAUCUAUAUCAUGGAAAGAAUGGAUUUCUGGCAUCCUAUUCUUUGAUGGGGAACGGUCUUGUUUAAGGAGUCGCCACCUAGUAUUAUGGUCACUAGGAACCCUAACUGGUCAACAGAGAUUAUAUGGUACGGGAUUGGUUACGUAAAAGGGAAGAUAUUAUCACUCCUUAAACGUUCUGCCUGAGGCAGACUGCAUUGCUGGUUUUGUCUUAAAUUUCUAAAUGUUUAUUAGUUUACGCUAUGAUAAUUUGCUUAUAAUAUUCCUGAUUCUGGCAUCAGUGAAUAUUCAACUACGAAUAUCUUCAACUCUGGCGUUGGUAAAUAUUACGUAGCUAUAAAUUAAAUUAGAUCAAUAUUUUUUUAUUCCCUACUCUAGCGCCAGUGAAUAAAUAAAUAAAAAUAAAUUUAUUUUUAAGCAUGCACAUAUUUUUUAUUUUUCUAGCUAAAUAAAAUAAAUAUAACGAAUAAAAAUAAUAUAAAUUUAAACCGGUAUUUUUGUUCCUGACUCUGGCGUCAGUGAAUAAACCAAUAAAUUUACAUUAUUUUUAUUCAUGCAUACACAUUUUUUAUUUAUUUUUUUUUCUACCUUUUUUAUUUUUAUUUUUAUUUUUUUUCUAUUUUUUUGGGGUUGGGCCCAGCUCAGCCCACAUGGGCUGGGCUAGACCCAGCCAGCCCGGCUGGGCAAAAGAAGAAGAAGCACGCGUGAAGUAAAUUCACGCGUGCAUGAAUAGUGUGAAGGUAAUUAAAUUACCUUCACACUGCAUUUGAAAGUUUUAUUGAAUGCAGAGAAUGGAAACUUACCUGUGCAGCGGAGGACGGCGCCGAAGACGAUGGCGCGGUGGCUGUUUUCUUUUGUUUCCCGGUGUGGCUCCACUGUCUUUUGGGUUGUUCCCCCCCCCCCCAUCUGUUCUGUUUCUCCCCCUGCCUUUUAUAAGGCCAGAGAGCUUCAAAAACCGUCUCCUCCACGACCGGGAUCGUGGCAGAAGACAUGGUCACGAUGGGUUCGACUUUGUUGCCGAUUUUCCCGCUUCCCUGUUGAACCGGUCUUCGACAAGCAGAUGAUGAACAGAAAGAUUCUAAAACGGCGUCAUUUGGCAUGGAAAAUGACAGAUUAUAGAUUGGUCCCUGAUGUUUUGAAAUGUAUCAAUUAGGUCCCUUAAUCAAUAAAUGUUAAUUUUUCCCCUUGGAUUAAUUUCAAUUAAAUCCCUGAAUUUAUUUAAUUAAUUAAAUCAAAGUUUAAUUAAGUCUACAAACUUAUUAAUUCUUCUAAUUUCAUUAAUUAAACUAAUCCAAGUUUUAACUAAAUUUCCAAACUUAUUAAUUCUUCAGUUUCUGAUCAAUUUACUCUCAAAUCUAAUAAUUUCAUCCAUGAACUUUGAAUUUGUGUUGUUUUAACCCCAUUCCCAAAUAUAUUUUUAUCCAUUCAUUUUGUAUUAUUUAUUCAAAAAUUGGGUUAUGACAACGCACAGGUUAUCGAUGGUUUUCGUGCCUCACACCGACAGAAUUAAUCCGUCGGUAAAACUGUUUAAUGAUGUAGUGAGUGUAGAAAUUAGAUUUAGAGUGUAUAUUGUAUUGUAGUGUAAGGUGUUUUUUAAAAUUAUUUUUCGCUUAAAAAUACAUCAAAAAAUUAGAUUUUUUUAAUUGUGUACAUCAAAACUAUCAUAAAACAUUAAAAAUAUAUAAAUUUGAAACCUUUUCAAGUUAAACAUAUAUAGUUUUAAAACACACUCAAAUUUAGUUCCAAAUACAAAAAAACAAGUAUUUCCUUAGAGUGUCAAAAGUAGUGAACCCCGAUUUGUUUUUUUAUGAUUUUUAGGUUGUUAGAAAUUGUAAACGUGAUGAUGCUUCAAUCCUUUCUUUUGUUUGUUUAUUUUGUUUCUUAUAUUUUUAAUAUUUAUUAUUUUUCGAAAGAAGUUUUUUUCUCAAUUGUUAAUGGUUAUUUUGUGAUUUUCUUAUAUACCCAUUAACUAAAAUCAAAGACCCCUCCAAAUACAUUGAUUUACCACCCUUUCAGUAUUAGUUUUUGCUGAUUAAUGACUCUUCUAAUUUGAUUUUAGUGAGAAAUAAAUAAUUAAUUAUGUGUUUUAAGUUUUUAUUGAUCAAAAUCAUAUGAUAUAUUUAAACUAGAAAAAAUCAAAUACUCACAUUGUAUUUAAUACUAUGUAAUACAUAUUAAAUUAAAGACAAAAAUUCCACAAUUAAUUUGGUUGGUGCUUAAUUUCGCUAAAACUUUGAAAUUCUAAGAAUCCUUGUGAACAUGUCAGAUCAUGUACAGUUUUGGAAACACAAUAAAGAAUUCUUGGUGCAAUGAUUUCGUGAGUAAAAAGUGUGCUUGUGUAGUACUAUUGAUGGCUUUUUAAUCAGCUCCACACAGAUGGUGCCACUGAUGAUGAGCGAGAAAAUCCAAAUAGCACGAGGCUUAUGUAUUGCAUAAUCGGUUAAUCUCUUAAUUUUAGCAAUUUAAUCUAUUCUCCCCUGUCAAGUGGGUGGUAGUUGGUUCUUAUUAGAGAAUUAUAUCUUGGGACUUCACCUCACCUAACAGCUUAAGCUUUUAGGUUGAGAUGGUUCUUUGACAUGGUAUCAGAGCUUUGCUGACCAAGCGGUCACGAGUUCACCAUCCUCAUUUAUUUGAUAAAAAUCAAGCACAAGGUAAUGUGGGUCUGUGCAAGUUUCAAGUUCAAAGGGUUUUCACUUAAGGGGGUGUGUUAGAGAAUAAUAUAAAUCAUAUCUUGGGACCUCACCUAACAGUUUAAGCUUUUAGGUUGAGAUGGUUCUUUGACAGUGCUUGAUACCUGUAUAAGAUUUUCUUUUGUGAGCUUGAGGACUCUAUGAUACUUAAAUCAAUAUAUUUUUUAGAGAAGAUGCCAUCAUAUUCUAAAGAGGUAUUCUCAAAAUAAAAAUUUCAUCUAGAAAGGAGAUCCUGCCUCUCUCUCUAUAUCUAUAUCGUAUUUUUCCCUCCUCUCCAUUCAAGAAAGACAGAAAUAUUUUUGACUUAUUCAUAAGAAAAAAUAUCUCUAACUUGAUCAAAGAAAAAACAUAAUUGGGCUUAGCGCUCGACUGAGCCCAAGUGAUAUUGGAUUAUUAUUGUAACACCCUCAAAUUAUAAUGUUAUGAAAUCUCAAACAUUUCUUUAUUAAUGUCAAGUAUUGAAUAGUAUGACUAAGAUUAUGGGAUUAUUUUUUUUGAAAUUUCGACAGAGUUUCCUUUGUUUUCUGAUGUUACCAAGUUAUCGACUAGACUUCAUUCAAUCACAAUACUCAAAACUUCCACUUUGAUCCAACCAUCCUGGAUCAUAUCCCAUCUCAUCAAACAAUAUUUCACAUAACUAUACUUCAUUGUAUUUUCUCAACCUUACAUCAUCAACAAAUAACACAUUAACUACAAACAAUUAUAAACUCAAAAGAUUCAUAUUGAACUAAUUAUUACAUUAACAUGCAUUCAUCUUCUACACAUGCCAGAUUAUAAUUACUAAAUUUUCUUUUUGAAUAGUUUAAUAAUAUUAGUUCCUUACUCAUACAUUUUAAAUGUAUAAGUACCAAAAGCAAAACAUAUUCAGGAUACAUAUAUUACAAUCUACAUAUAAUACAAAUUACAUAUAAAGCAAAUAUAUUACAUUCCACAAAAUAAACAGAUUAAAACACAAAGCCCAUAUUUAACGCUCCGCAUCACCUCGUGAAAAACCUGUAUACAUAACAUUAAAAAGAAAUAAGAAAGAUAACACAUUAAAUAUGAUAAAGCUAUUAUGUUCACAAGUCUUCAAAAUUAUAUCAAAUUAUCUUUCAUCACCAACUUACUAUAUAUCAACAUUAAUAACUCAUUCAUAAUUUAUUAAUCCUAUACUUAUAGGACCUCUAUGACCAACACUCAUUGCUUAAUUUUAAUUUGAUAAUUCACAAAUUUUACCUCAAACCCGACUAACCCUCUUAAAUAACCAACUAUCAACAUCUGGCUAUUUUCUAUCAAUAGCCAAUACAACCGAUAAUUCCAUACGAAUUACCCAACAUCCAGCUAUUUUCCAUCAAUAGCCAAUACAACCGGUAAUUCCAUACGAAUUACCCAACAUCCGGCUAUUCUCUAUCACAUACGAAUUACCCAACAUCUGGCUAUUCUCUAUCAAUAGCCAAUACAACCGGUAAUUCCAUACGAAUUACUCAACAUCCGGCUAUUCUCUAUCAAUAGCCAAUACACCAGGUAAUUUCAUACGAAUUACCCAAUUACCCAACAUCCAGCUAUUCUCUAUCAAUAGCCAAUACAACCGGUAAUUUCAUACUAACCAACCGGUACUUCUAUACUAACCGGUAAUUCAUACUAACCGGUAAUUCAUAUUAACUGGUAAUUCAUACCAACUAACCGGUAAUUCAUACUAACCAACCGGUAAUUCCAUACUAACCAACCGGUACUUCUAUACUAACCGGUAAUUCAUACCAACUAACCGGUAAUUCAUACUAACCAACCGGUAAUUCCAUACCAACUAAUCGGUAAUUCAUACUAACCAACCGGUAAUUCUAUAUUAACUAACCGGUAAUUCCAUACCAACCAAUAAUUCCAUACUAACCAACCAAUACUUCUUUCAUAUCAACAUGUCAUAAACAACUCAUAACUAAUAAUGAAACUUUGAAUUUUAAAAGAAAGUGAUGAAUCACUUACCAUCUGCUCGUAAUGGCCCAGCUCCUCCUGCUUGAUGCCCUGCUCCCGGUACAACUCCUGAAUCAAUCAGAUUGCACUACAUUAUUAAUCCAUUAUCAUUUCUCCUACAUGCUUAAAUUUAAAGCAUGUAAUAUCUUUUAUUUAAUUGGGGUUUACACCAAAAUUUUCAUUCAUUUGUCACCUCAUUUUCAACAUAUAGUUUUAAUCAAUUUUCUUCUUUUAACUCACUUAAAGAAUUCUCCCAUGAACUUUUCCUACCAUUUAUUUAUUCCUUCUUUUCACAUUCUUAUGAUGUUUCUUCACUUAUUUAUAUUUUGAAUACUUCAAAUAAGAUAAAGAACAUCAUUUCUCAAACAUAAAACAAUCAAAACCUCAUUCCUAUAUUUCCUCAUCCUUAAUUACAAGUUCUUUUCUUCAACAUUAUUCAAUUUCUUUCUUAAUUACUACUUACAUUCACUAUUUCUAUACUAUUCUACCUCAAUUCCAUCAUGUUUACUUUUUUUCUCAAAAUCCCCAAAUUCUCAUAAGAACCCUAAUUUUAAAAAAUCAAGAUUAUGACAAAUUAAAUCAAAUUUAAUUGUCAUUGUUUGAUAACUUACUCAAAUAAACCCAAAAACACUUCAUUCAAGUAAGAAUCUAAACUUUUCAUGCUUACCAAUCUAAGUUCUCCCAACUGUUCUUCUCCUCCUAGUGUGGCCAGCCCUCCUCACCUUUCUUAUAUCUUCCUUCUCUUGAUUCUUCCUUAAUUUAAUGUUCCAAGUCUUUCAAUCUUACAAGUUUCAAAGCUCUCUCUCACUUUUUCUUGUUUUUCUCUUAACUUCUCACGUUCUUCUCUUAUUUUCUUUCUUUUUUUCUUUCCACAUUUGUUACUGCCCAGUCGGCAGUUCAUAACAGAAAAGAGGGCUGCCUUGUUUUAUUUUUAAUGGCAAUUUACUACUUUACUCUUGAUGAGUCUUUUUGCUUCCAUUUGACGGUCCUUAUUCUUUGAUAGCACUACCGAGCUCCGUUCAUCCUAAAAUUUUAACCAGAUUUUAUUCAAUAUAUUUUAAGGUUUCUCAUAAAAUUUCAGCUCAAUCUGAUGGUCGGAUUUAAAAUUACGUCCAAUAACGUCAAACUAGUCAAAUUGUGAUUUUUCGUCAAAUUUCUGAAUUUUUUUAAAAAUUCUGAAAUUUUAACCCAAGCUAAGGAAUUAUAUUAGAAGGCUCCACGUAAAUUUUCAGAAUUUUCUGAUAACCCGAUCGGGAGUUACAAAUGUUUUUCCUUUUGUUUUACAUGAAACUAGUCAAUUUAUAAUUUUUUGCCCAGAAAUUUUACAAUUAUCUUGUCUCUCAUUCCUUUAAAUGAGAAUCUAACAAAUAAAAACAAAUAAAAAAUAUAUAUUAAUCCAGCUACGAGUAUAUACCAUUGGGGAUUAUUAAUGCGAUUAUCUCAAAUUAUAUGUUUUUUUUUCUUUUUUUGCUAAUUCGUUAUCAAUUUGCUAACACUAACUAUUUUUGUAUAUCCUCUCAAUUAUUAUAUUAAAAUAAUAAGUAUGUAUCAUCCUUGACAAUGAGACAAACCUUUGUGGGUCACCGAUUUUUACACUAGAUAAGGAUUACCGAAGUUUCUUGAAUGAGUGUAAGUUUUAAAAUCACAAAACAAUAAUAACACUUUAUAUCAACUUUUACAUCAAAGCCUUUGAUAUCAUGGAGCCAUUAAGGUUUUCUUGGUUGAUUAGAUGGUGGGCCAAAUAGGUUUCAUCUAUCCUAUCAUAAUUGCAUAUAAUUUGGUUAUUUUUAGACCGUGUUUGGCAUUGCGAUUUUAAAGUGUUUUUAAAAAAAAUUAAUUUUUUUUGUUAAAUUAAUAUAUUUUUUAUAUUUUCAGAUCAUUUUAAUGUGCUGAUGUCAAAAAUAAUUUUUAAAAAAUAAAAAAACAUUAUUUUAUUGUGUUUUGGAAUGAAAAGCACUUUAAAAAACAACCGCUACCACACUUUCAAAUACCCUCUUUUCAUUUUUAAAGUGCUUUUUACUCGAAAAUAUAUUAAAAUAAUGUUUUUUUAUUUUUUAAAAAUUAUUUUUGACAUCAACGCAUCAAAAUGAUAAAAAACAUCAAAAAAUAUUAAUUUGAAGCAAAGAAAAAAAUAAAAAAAUUUAAAAUUUUUUAAAAAUGCUUUUGAAACACAAAAACAAACAGGAUUAUUGUUAGGUUGUGGUUGUGGCUAAAUAAUAAAUUUUUUAACAUAAAAAAAAAAUCACAGGCUGCAGGGAAUUUUUUUUAUUUUGUUAUUAAAUUGAGUCUAUCAUAUCAAACUUAUUGUGUGUAGUCUCCGCACCAUGUAACAAGGGCCACCACAUUAAAUUUUAAGAGAAAGCAUGACUGCCUCUUUGGAAUUAAAAUAGGUCUGCCACUGUAGCGGCAUAAUUAAAUAAGAGAAAAAUACAACAGAGAACACGAGAGAAAAGAAAAGAAAAGGAGGCAGUUAAACGGUCUGUCUUCAUUCUUUGUUUUCCAACUCGUUAACCGUUGGAUCAGGCUGAGAUUUUAAAAACAGCUUCUAAACAUGUUACUCUUUAUUCUGGACGGUUGGAUCGAAGAUUUGUUAUGUAUAAGCUGAUUGUUUGGUUAAAAAAUCAAGGCUGUCAGUAUUGUGAGUUUUUCUCAAAUAUUUCUCCUUUAAUAUUGUUGUAUUCCAAGAAUAGAUUGUUCUUGAUGAUAUGCAUGUUCUAGCCCUUAAUUAAAUCUGAUGAAGAACAAUUGUGAACCCAUUAUUUGUUGAAGGUGGAAGUUUUUAGGUGGAUUACGGUCCCAUGGUUUUUUCCCACAUCGGAUUUUUCACGUAAAACUCUUAGUGUUGUUUUGCGUAAUUGUUUGCAUUAUUUUAUUUACUAUUUGAUUCCAUUUUUGAUUGCACAAAGAGGAAAAAUGAUUGAGACUUAUGAAUUGUGAUAUGGCAAAAAUUAGUUUUUGAUUGUUCCUGGUUUUCCAACAAAACUUGAAAAACUCCUAUUUUGACAUUUUUGUUUUACAACUUAUAUUUUAUUUAAUGAUAUAAAAAAUAGACAUUUAUAAAAUUAAUGUUUAACUUAAUAUCAAAGAUGUUUUGUAAAUUAAAAGUAUUGUUUUCAAAACAAAAAUCUAUUAUUAUCUUAAAAGAAAUUUAAAAUAAAACAUUCAAACAAAGUCACAAUAUCUUGUAUAUGGUUGAAGAAAAAAAAUAUUGAUAAAUUUGAUAAAAUUAUAUAAAAAAUGUAUUAAAAAUAUUUAAAAAAUCAUAAAUCUUAUAUUAAUUAAAUAUUCAUGCGUUUUGUUUUUCAUAUUAGACACAUAUUAGCUAGAAAAAAAUAGUUAAAAUUCCAUAAAACUUAUAUCAAACUUAAAAAAUAGUUAAAAAAACACAAGUGCAAGGGAUUUUUUUUAUUUUGUUAUUAAAUUUAGUCUAUUAUAUCAAACUUAAAAAACUUCACCUUCAGUUUUACAAAUUAUAUUUUAUUUAAUGAUAUAAAAAUAGAUAUUUAUAAAACUAGUGUUCAACUUAAUAUUGAGAUUUUUUUGUAAAUUAAAAGUAUUGUUUUCAAAAUAAAAAUUCAUUAUUGUCUUAAAUAAAAUUUAAAAUAAAACAUUCAAACAAAGUUAUAAUAUUUUGUAUAUGGUUGAAGAAAAUAAAUAUUGAUAAAUUUAAUACAAUUAUAUAAAAAAUAUAUUAAACAUGUUAAACAAAAUCAUAAAUCUUUUAAAGAAGACAGUGGGACCUAACCACAGUGUCGCACCUGUCAUUCAUGUCGCUUAUAAUUAUUGUUUUAUUUUUGCAUUUUAGCAACUUGUAUAGGAAGGUUUGCCCCACAAGCGACUCUAAGCACGAAACGACGGCUAAAAUUCACAUCACCGGAGUUAUUAUCAUAUAUUUAUUUUAAUGUUUUAAAAAUAUUUUAAAAACAAUUAAAAAAAUUAUUUUUUAUUUUAAAUUAAUAUAUUUUUAAUGUUUUUAAAUUAUUUUGAUACACUAAUAUUAAAAAUAAUUUUUAAAAAAUUAAAAAAAUAUUAUUUUAAUAUAUUUUUAAAUAAAAACCAUUUUAAAAAACAAUAAUAGAAACAUUAUAUACAAUCCAAAGUUGUCAAUUCCGUUCCGUUUCGUCCGGAAUGGCCGAAAUAUUCCAUACUAAUUCAAAAAAUAGAACAAAACGGAAUAAUUUUCAUCUCAUUUUAAAUCUCGGUCCGUUCCGGAUUUUUUGGCUAAAUUUCGGCCGGAACGUUCCGGUUUCAUUCCACAUAUUUCGUUCCGCUCUUGAAAAGCCAUUGGACCUUGUUUAAUUUAAUUAAUUAAACCACCCAAGUAUAAAAAACUAUUUUUCAUUACUAUUUUCAAUAACAAUGAUAUUAAUAAUAAUAUUGAAAAUUAUUACUACUAUUUUCAUUAACAAUGAUAUUAAUUUUAUAAAAUUAGAUUUAUCACUAAUAUAUAUGAUUUAUAUUCAUGUUAUCUUUUCCAUGUUUAUACUUUGUAGGAAUUUGAGCAAAACAAAGGAUGCUUUAGAUUCCAUUAGCCUUGAUAACAUUGACCUAACUUUAUAUUUAAAAUAUUUGUGUUAAAACAUUUUACUUUCAUAAUAUUUUGAUAUUUUUGUUUAAGUUGAAUUACUUUAAGUUAAAGAUCUAUUUAAUCUUGACUAUUUAGAAAUAUUUUAAAAUUUAAAAUUAUAUUUGUUUGGCAUUGUGUUUGUAUUGCAUAAUUUAUAAUUAAUUUAUCUUAAAUUUAAAUUAUGUUUGUUGAAUUUAUAUAUAUAUAAAUUCCAGUGUAGCAGAUGAUGAGCGAAUAAAUUCUUCCGAAGCAGAAAGAAAGUAAUUAUCUAUGGAAGUAGUUUUGGCUCAUAAUGAAUAAAAACAGUGUGCAUGCAUGAAAAUUCUCUUUUUAAAUAAAACAUUUUUGUUCUAGUUUUGUUUAUUUUUCAAUUAAAAAAAAACUUGGAUUUAUCUUAUUUCAAUUCAAGACAGAGUCUGAAUAGAAUAUACUAGUUAGGUGACUCGUGCUACGCCACCAACUCACUUUUUAUUUUAAUAAAAAAAAAUUAAAAAUCUAAGACCCAAAAGUAUUGGGUUUGACUGUAACGUCAAACCCAAGAGCGUUGAGUCUGACUGCAACGUCAAACCCAACAAUAAUAUUUAUAAUAUUAAUAAUAAUAUUUAACUUGUCUGCAAAAUUUUUAUUUUUUUAAUCUUUCAAAAAACAUUAUGGUUUUUCUUCGAUAAUAAUAAUAGUUUUUUAAAUUUUAAUAAUAAUAAUAAUAAUAAUUAUUAUUAUUAUUAUUAUUAAUUUUACAAUUGAUUAUAAAAUGUAUAUCAUGUAUAUAUCUGAAUAGGAAUUAAUGCAGGAUUAUUCCAAUGUUGUGAUUCUUACCGUUAAUGUUAUGUUUUGCCAUUUAUAUGUUAAUAGAAAAGGUUGGUUAAGACUAAACCUAAAUCAUUCUAUUAUUCUCAACUUGGUAUCAGAUCCCUAAAUAAACUAAAACACUUCCUCUCCUUUCUCUAUACAAUGGACUCCUCAUCACAGCCGCCUGCUGCUUCUCCUUCUGCAACACCGGCGAUGCCAGCUCCUUGUCUUCCUCUGCUUCUGUUCUGUCGUGGCCACUAAAAAUCAAUUUGAAUUGAUAAAACUUUUCAAGCCAAGAUUUACCAUCUCAAGCAAGGUGAAAGCCAAAGAACUCCAUAAUGAAACUCGUCUCGUCAAAUAGAACUUGUUAAUAUCAAAAUCAAUUUUUUUUCAUAGUUAGAAUUAAUGUCAAUCAAUUACUUUCUCUUUCCUCAACAUUUCAAACAAGUUUUUCUUUCAUCUCUCUUAAUUCAGUGAAUAAAAAAUAAAGAAAAUAAAUUUUCAAACAAAAAAUAAAAAUUAUUGCUAAUAUGAGGUGAGCAUAUAUUUUCUUAAUUCUCUUGAUCUAAUUAGGCUGUAAUUAUAGGGUUUAGAUAAAAAAAAAAAUUUAGCUGGUUCAUUGUUAUAUAAACAGUGAAACUUAUCCCAUCUCUUUUAGAUGUUUUGUUAAUAAAAAAUACAUACACAUCAUUUUCACAUGCAAUUAUUAUUUUCACAUACUCAUCAUUUUUGUUAAUAAAAAAACAUAUUAUUAAUUUUUUUAUUAACGUGGGUGUUCGGGUCAACUUGCGCACACCUUGACUAAUCCCAUGAACCCUAAAGUUAACGACCAUGUAAGCCUCCAGUGGCCCUAAAAUUUAUGGAACUCAAAUUAAUAAUCUCUUAGAAGCAAAUUUAAAACCUAAUCAAUUGAGUUAUAUCCUUCAAAAUUACAUCAUUAUUUUUAUAUUCAUGGAGAGAGAUCCACUGAAAUCAAUAGUACAGGUACGAGAAUCCUUUAUUCUUUAGUCAUCAGAUUAUACGUUGAUUUGACAUGCAUAAAGCAGUGGGACCUAACAAUAGUGCCACACUUGUCAUAUACGUGCCUAUAUUUAUUGUUUUAUUUCUGCGUUUAAAAACAAAUUAAAAAAAUUUAAAAAAAUUAUUUUAAAUUAUUUUUUUAUAUUUAAAAAUCAUUUUAUUAUGUUAAUAUCAAAAAUAAAUUUUUAAAAAUAAAAAUAUAGGUGCCUAUAAUUAUUGCUUUAUUUCUGCGCUUUGAAUUUUUUUUGAAAGAGUUAAAAUAUUUUUAUUUUUAAUUAUUUUAAAAUAUUAAUGUUAGAAAUAAUUUACGAAAAACAAAAAUAUAUAAUUUUAAUAUAUUUUUCAAGAAAAAAACAUUUAAUUGAAUGCUUGACGAUUUUGCCACGUCAGAUCGCACCAGAGCUGCGAUCCACCAGUACAAAGCAUCAAAGCUGGGAUCCACCUUACCUCGAUAACAAUGAACCUUAAAUGAUAGCUGUCCCCUCUAAAUCUAAAACAGCAUUAAAGGCAAAAAACACAUGUAUAAAAUGUUAAAUUGAAUUAUGAUUGAUAGAGUAAUUAGAUAAACAGAGACUAACUGAUCAACUUGUAUAUUCAUUAUUUUUAUCUAUUUUAUUUCUUAUUCAAUUAUUAUUUUUCAAGUGGCACUUGUAUAGGAGGGAGGUUCGCCCACAAGCGACUCUACAACAGGCAGGAAACAAUCACUCAGCGGUUAAAUUCACGGCACCCGAGAGGCGUUUCCUGUUUUAAAGUUAAAUGACUACACCGACACCACUGUUAUUAAGCCCGGCCCGGCGGGUCGACCCGGGACUCGAUCGACCCGGUGGCUGGAACGGUCCGGGUUUAAUAAAAGACCGGCUGUGACAACAGCCCGGCCAAACCCAGGCGACACGGACGAGACCCGGAGUUUCUUUUUUUUCAAAUGUGGGAUUUGAAACCCAUUAGUAUAUAUACUCUAUGUUCCCAAGAAAAAAGUCAUGUUUUUUUCAAUGUGAGAUAAAAAACCUUUUGGUUUAAAUACUUCAACUUAAAAGGAUAAUAUAGUUUCUUUUCAAUGUGAAAUUUGAAGCCCUUUCAUAUAUAUACUCUAUGUUCCCAUGAAAAAAACCAUGUUUUUUUAAUGUGGGAUAAAAAACCUUUUGGUUUAAAUACUUCAACUUAAAAGGAUAACAUAAUAUCUUUUCAAUGUGGGAUUUGAAGCCCUUUCAUAUAUAUACUCUAUGUUCCCAUGAAAAAAACCUUGUUUUUUCAAUGUGGGAUAAAAAACCUUUUAGUUUAAAUACUUCAACCUAAAAGGAUAACAUAAUAUCUUUUCAAUGUGGGAUUUGAAGCCCUUUCAUAUAUAUACUCUAUGUUCCCAUGAAAAAAACCAUGUUUUUUCAAUGUGGGAUAAAAAACCUUUUGGUUUAAAUACUUCAACUUAAAAGGAUAACAUAGUAUCUUUUCAAUUUGGGAUUUGAAGCCCUUUCAUAUAUAUAUUCUAUGUUCCCAUGAAAAAAAUCAUGUUUUUUUAAUGUGGGAUAAAAAAACCUUUUGGUUUAAAUACUUCAACUUAAAAGAAUAACAUAAUAUCUUUUCAAUGUGGGAUUUGAAGCCCUUUCAUAUAUAUACUCUAUGUUCCCAUGAAAAAAACCAUGUUUUUUCAAUGUGGGAUAAAAAACCUUUUAGUUUCAAUACUUCAACCUAAAAGGAUAACAUAAUAUAUUUUCAAUGUGGGAUUCGAAGCCCUUUUAUAUAUAUACUCUAUGUUCCCAUGAAAAAAACCAUGUUUUUUCAAUGUGGGAUAAAAAACCUUUUGGUUUAAAUACUUCAACUUAAAAGGAUAACAUAGUAUCUUUUCAAUGUGGGAUUUGAAGCCCUUUCAUAUAUAUACUCUAUGUUCCCAUGAAAAAAACCAUGUUUUUUUAAUGUGGGAUAAAAAACCUUUUGGUUUAAAUACUUCAACCUAAAAGGAUAACAUAAUAUCUUUUCAAUGUGGGAUUUGAAGCCCUUUAAUAUAUAUACUCUAUGUUCCCAUGAAAAAAACCAUGUUUUUUCAAUGUGGGAUAAAAAACCUUUUGGUUUAAAUACUUCAACUUAAAAGGAUAACAUAGUAUCUUUUCAAUGUGGGAUUUGAAGCCCUUUCAUAUAUAUAUUCUAUGUUCCCAUGAAAAAAAUCAUGUUUUUUUAAUGUGGGAUAAAAAACCUUUUGGUUUAAAUACUUCAACUUAAAAGGAUAACAUAGUAUCUUUUCAAUUUGGGAUUUGAAGCCCUUUCAUAUAUAUAUAUAUAUAUAUAUAUAUAUAUAUUCUAUGUUCCCAUGAAAAAAAUCAUGUUUUUUUAAUGUGGGAUAAAAAAACCUUUUGGUUUAAAUACUUCAACCUAAAAGGAUAACAUAAUAUAUUUUCAAUGUGGGAUUCGAAGCCCUUUCAUAUAUAUACUUUAUGUUCCCAUGAAAAAAACCAUGUUUUUUCAAUGUGGGAUAAAAAACCUUUUGGUUUAAAUACUUCAACUUAAAAGGAUAACAUAGUAUCUUUUCAAUGUGGGAUUCGAAGCCCUUUCAUAUAUAUACUCUAUGUUCCCAUGAAAAAAACCAUGUUUUUUCAAUGUGGGAUAAAAAACCUUUUGGUUUAAAUACUUCAACCUAAAAGGAUAACAUAGUAUCUUUUCAAUGUGGGAUUCGAAGCCCUUUCAUAUAUAUACUCUAUGUUCCCAUGAAAAAAACCAUGUUUUUUCAAUGUGGGAUAAAAAACCUUUUGGUUUAAAUACUUCAACUUAAAAGGAUAACAUAGUAUCUUUUCAAUGUGGGAUUUGAAGCCCUUUCAUAUAUAUACUCUAUGUUCCCAUGAAAAAAACCAUGUUUUUUUAAUGUGGGAUAAAAAACCUUUUGGUUUAAAUACUUCAACCUAAAAGGAUAACAUAUUAUCUUUUCAAUGUGGGAUUUGAAGCCCUUUAAUAUAUAUACUCUAUGUUCCCAUGAAAAAAACCAUGUUUUUUCAAUGUGGGAUAAAAAACCUUUUGGUUUAAAUACUUCAACUUAAAAGGAUAACAUAGUAUCUUUUCAAUGUGGGAUUUGAAGCCCUUUCAUAUAUAUAUUCUAUGUUCCCAUGAAAAAAAUCAUGUUUUUUAAAUGUGGGAUAAAAAACAUUUUGGUUUAAAUACUUCAACUUAAAAGGAUAAUAUAUUAUCUUUUCAAUGUUGGAUUUGAAACCCUUUCAUAUAUAUACUCUAUGUUCCCAUGAAAAAAGUUAUGUUUUUUCAAUGUGGGAUUUGAAAUCUAUUAGUAUAUAUACUCUAUGUUUUCAAGAAAAAAGUUAUGUUUUUUCAAUGUGGGAUAAAAAACUUUUUUAGUUUAAAUACUUUAACUUAAAAGCUUAACAUAAUAUCUUUUUAAUGUGGGAUAAAAAACUUUUUAAAAUAUUCUUUUAAACUUCAUAAUAUGUAUAAUCUAUAUUUAUAUGGAUUUUUUCAUAUGAAAUAUUAAAACUUUAAUUUUUUUAAAAUUUUUCCGGGUUAAUCCGAGUUGACCCGAGUUGACCCGGGUUGAUCUAUGAAACCUGGGACCUGACCCCUUGACCGAGUCCAUCUCGGACCGGGUUUAAUAACCAUGACCGACACAUUUAUGCAAGGAAAGAAAAGUGAAUACAAUUAAUUUGUAUCUGUACCACAAAAUAGAAGAAGAAACGUUUUUUUGGCGUGUUUAGUAUUUUCCCUGAAAGUGUCGAUUAUGCUUAGCAGUAGGAACCUUACAUCUUUCUAUUAAUUACAACCGCACAUUUCAUGCAUGCAUGGAUGAUUGAAAGCUUUAUAUAAGAAGCUGGAGCUAAGAACAAAUCAGCAGAUAGCAGAACCAAAGCAACAGCCAAUAAACAUGAUGGUGGAAAGCGUUCUUUGCAUGAAUCCAGGAGAUGGUGAAACCAGCUACGCCAAGAAUUCAUUCCUUCAAGUCUCUCUCUCUCUCUCUCUCUCUCUAACACCUUAUUUCAUAAAAAUGUUGUGUCUCAGUGCAUUUAGAGAGACAAAUUACCGGCCUUUUUUUUCCUUUCUUUUUGGUAGUGUUAGAAUUUUAUUGUAAGUAGAGAAGACCUCGCGUAGCAACUUAAAUUUUGAAGUUAGGUAAGAUAAGCGAAGUUUAAUGAUAUGAAGGAAGCAAAUAUAUAGUCAUCGCUGCAUGCAUUUCCUUCUUCCUGGCAUCACAUCUCACCGAAUAUAUUAGUAAUUCUUGCAUUUAUUUUUUCCUGGAAGCUAGUAUUGCAGAUUAAUUCUGAUGUGGUUUGAAAAUUCGUUUCGCAGAAAACAGUGCUAUCAAAAGCUAGGCCAAUCCUAGAAGAUACCAUCAAGGACAUGUUCAGCACCGCCCUUCCCACUAGCUUCAAACUAGCAGACUUGGGCUGCUCUUCAGGACCCAAUACUCUCUUGUUCGUUUCUGAAAUCAUGGACGUCAUUUAUGAGCUUUGCCAACAACUGAACUGUAAACUGCCCGAAUUUCAGGUGUUUCUGAAUGACCUUCCAGGGAAUGAUUUCAAUGCUGUUUUCAAGUCGCUGCCAUUUUUCUACGACAAGUUUGGAAAAGAAAAGGGAGACUUGUAUGGACAGCACUGCUUCAUAUCAGGAGUACCUGGUUCUUUCUAUCACAGGCUCUUCCCAAGCAAGAGUUUGCAUUUCUUUCAUUCCUCUUACAGCCUACACUGGCUUUCUAAGGUUAUGUUACUGUCUUUUUUUCAUAAUUACUAUCUCUAAGUUUAAUAAUGAUUUAUCCCAGUAACUGGAAUGCCUAGUUAAGAUAGCGAAAUAUCAAAGACAAACAAAAAUUGGUAGAGAAGAAGAGAAACAAGAUGUUUAUAACCAUUACUGAGUUAAUAUAAAACCUGAAACCUCGUUUAUCACAGCUUAAAAUAACUACAGAAUCAAAUACAAAAUACAUAUAAAUAAUAGCAAUUGCUUGAAUCAAUACUAUAGAAUGUGCUGUUGCCUGUUGUGGUUUAAAUUAGUCACGCGUGAACAUAAACAUGGCAAAGCCUGACCAUAUAUUUUCAUGACAUUAGGUGCCAGAAGGUAUAUCAAAUAACAAGGGGAACAUAUACAUGGCAAAGGCAAGUCCUCCUAAUGUAUUUAAAGCUUACUUGGAGCAAUUCCAGAAGGAUUUCUCCUUGUUUCUGCGCUUACGCUCAGAGGAAAUAAUACAAGGAGGACGUGUAGUUCUUACAUUCCUCGGCAGGAGUAGUGACGACCCAAGAAGCAAAGAUUGCUGUCUUUCUUGGGAGCUGCUAGCAAAGUCACUGCUAGACUUGGCAGCAAAGGUUAGUUUAUUUUCAUUUAAAUGAAGCAAAUUGCUUGCCUUGUUGGUUAUGGAGAUUAAUUAAUUCAAGUUUCAGGGACUUGUUGUAGAGGCCGAUAUCGAUACCUUCAAUCUGCCAUAUUAUAAUCCUUACGAAGGAGAAGUGAGGGAAAUUAUCGAAAUGGAGGGAUCAUUCGAUAUUAACAAGCUAGAAACUUUUGCUAUUAACUGGGAUGCUAAUGAUGAUAUCAGCAACAAAAAUUUUGUGUUUGACAAGGACCAAUGUGGACGAAAUGUGGCAAAUAUUGUAAGAGCAGUUGCAGAACCGAUGUUGGUUAGUCAUUUUGGAGAUGAAAUAAUGGAUGAAUUGUUCAAGAGGUACGCAGAGCAUGUAGGUGAACAUCUGUGCGUGGAGAAGACAAAACACAUAAACAUAGUCCUCACAAUGACAAAGAAGGAGUAGACUCCAGUGUAGCAGAUGAUGAGCGAAUAAAUUCUUCUGAAGCAGAAAUAAAGUAAUUAUCUAUGGAAGUAGUUUUGGCUCAUAAUGAAUAAAAACAGUGUGCAUGCAUGAAAAUUCUCUUUUUAAAUAAAACAUUUUUGUUUUUGUUUAUUUCUUUAAUUAAAAAAAAAACUUGGAUUCAUCCAAUUUCAAUUCAAGACCAGAGUCUUAAUAGAAUAGACUAGUAAGGUGACCUGCGCUAUGCCACCAACUCACUUUUUAUUUUAAUAAAAAAAAUCAUAAAAAUCUAAGACCCAAAAGUAUUGGGUUUGGUUGUAACGUCAGAUCCAGGAGCGUUGAGUCUGACUGCAACGUCUAACCCAACAAUAAUAUUUAUAAUAUUAAUAAUAAUAUUUAACUUAUCUGCCAAAAUUUUUAUUUUUUUAAUCUUUCAAAAAAAAUUAUGGUUUUUCAACGAUAAUAAUAAUAAUUUUUUAAAAUUUAUUAAUGAUAAUAAUAAUAAUAAUAAUAAUAAUAAUUAUUAUUAUUCUUAUUAUUAUUAAUUUUAGAAUUUAUUAUAGAAUGUAUAUCAUGUAUAUAUCUGAAUAGAAAUUAAUGUAGGAUUAUUCCAAUGUUGUGAUUCCUACAGUUAAUGUCGUUUUCUGCCACAUAUAUACAAAUAGAAAAGGUUGGCUAAGAUUAAACCUAAGUCAUUCUAUUAUUCUGAACUUGAUAUCAUAGCCUUAAAUAAACUAAAACACUUCCUCUCUUCUCUCUCUGCAAUGGACUCCUCAUCACAGCGCCUGCUACUUAAUAAACUAAAACACUUCCUCUCCUCUCUCUCUCUGCAAUGGACUCCUCAUCACAGCCGCCUGCUACUUCUCCUUCUGCAGCAUCGGCGGUGCCAACUCCCUCCCCUACCACACCAUCCCUGUCUUCAUAUGCUUCUGUUCUGCUGUGGCCACUAAAAAUCAAUUUGAAUUGAUAAAACUUUUCAAGCCGAGAUCUACCAUCUCAAGCAAGGUGAAGGCCAAAGAACUCCACAAUGAAACUAGUCUUGUCAAAUAGAACUCGUUGACAUCAAAAUCAACUUUUUUCGUAGUCAGAAUCAAUGUUAACCAAUUACUUUUUCUUUCCUCGUUGUUUAAAGCAUAUAUUUUCUCGAUAUUUUCCAUUUUAAUUCUCUAGAUCUAAUUAGGCUGUAAUUAAAGGGUUUAGAUAAAAAUAAAAAAAAUCAGCUGGUUCAUUGUUAUAUAAACAGUGAAACUUACCCCAUCUCUUUUAGAUGUUAUGUUAAUAAAAAAUACAUACACAUCAUUUUCACAUGCAAUUAUUAUUUUCACAUACUCAUCAUUUUUGUUAAUAAAAAAAACACAUCAUUACUUUUAUAUUCAUGGGAGAGAGAUCCACUGAAAUCAAUAGUACAGGUACGAGAAUCCUUUAUUCUUUAGUCAUCAGAUUAUACGUUGAUUUGACACGCAUAAAGCAGUGGGACCUAACAACAGUGCCGCUCUUGUCAUAUACGUGCCUAUAAUUAUUGCUUUAUUUCUGCGUUUAAAAACAAAUUAAAAAAAAUUAUUUUAAAUUAUAUUUUUAUGUUUUAAAAUCAUUUUUUAUGUUAAUAUAAAAAAUAAUUUUUUAAAAAUAAAAAUAUAUAUGCUUAUAAUUAUUGUUUUAUUUUUGCGUUUUAAUUUUUUGAAAGAGUUUAUUUUUUUAUUUUAAAAUGUUAAUGUUAAAAAUAAAUUAAAAAAAUAAAAAUAUAUUAUUUUAAUAUAUCUUUUAAGAAAAAAACAUUUAACUGAAUGAGACGAUUUUGCCACAUUAGAUCGCACCAGAGCUUUGAUCCACCGGUACAAAGCAUCAAAGCUAGGAUCCACCUUAUCUUGAUAAUGAUGAACCUUAAAUGAUAGUUGUUAUUGUUGUUAAAAUCGUGAAUUAACUCUUAAAAGCGACAUGUUUGGAAUCAGGACUCAAAUCUGCCAAAAAUAUGCAAAAAUUAGAUAUUCAGGCUACAUAGAGGAAUUUUAACAUGAAUAAUUUUUUUAUUAUUCUAAUUUUUUUUUAUUUUUUUAAAAUAAAUGUCAAAGUUUUCAUUUAGAAAAAUUGUCAUAACCUAAUUUUUUAUAACAUAAAAUUCAAAAAAAUUGGAAAAAUGAAAUGAAUGAAAAAUUAAGGUUUGGAUCAGGGCAACACCAAUGGAAAGCUUUUAGGGGUUAAUCAUGUUGGAUUUAUGACUUUGGAAGUUAAUUUUGAAAGAAAUUGAAAGAAUUAACUAGUAUGGGGUUCCAAUUAAACUUUGAGUGGGUUUAAUUAAUGAUAUCGGGAAUUUGAUUGAAGAAUGGAUAAGUUUGAAGACUUAAUUAGUCUUAGAAUUAGUUUAAUUAAUGAAAUCAGAGGCAUAAUUGAAUAAAUAUUAAAUUUCUAAGUUAAUUAAGGACAAAAUUACAAGUGAUUAAGGUCCAGGGACCAUUUUGUAAAAAGCACAGAAAUUCUAUCCAGGGGCCUGAUUAAAAAAUGUUGAAAAUUGGAGGACCAAAUUGAGAGAUUGCCAUUUCCAACCCAGAACGACACCGUUCAUCAAUUGCUAUUCACUGUCUUCUUCCUCCGGAAACGACACGCAAGCUGGGCUUGCAAGCCCAUGCAUUUUGGUUGUUUUUUAAAGGAACAUACGCCUUAAGCCACUCAAGCCAUGCAUCUGGCCUUUUUUAUGCUCUUUUAUAUUUUUUUUAUUGAUGUUUCUGUGUGCUGGGCCACCUGGCUUACAUGCUUUCCCUUUGUUUUAUUUUUUCUUUUUUUGUUUGAAUUUUUUAAUUGAUAUUUUUCAAUUUCAUGAAUUUUAUUAAUUCUUUUAUUGACUUUUUUUUUUUAUCAAUUCCAUCCUGCAACAUUUGAUUAUUUUGAAUUGACAUUUUUUAUUUAUUUUAGUUUGUUCUUUGUGAGGUUCUCAAGGUUUUGGACAAAAAUCCCAGAAUUCGAUUGAUACUUAAUUUUGAUAGUGUCUAUUUUUAUUGUCAUAUAAUUAAAUAAAAAAGUUAUUAAACCUAGUGAGGUGCAUGACCCAAAUCACAGAACGAUUUGGCAAGUUAAUUCGGGUUCACUCAGAUUUUUUCUUUGUACGUUGCUUGAACUGAAUAUUUUUUUUUAUUUUUUCUUUAACAUUUGGUUGAUCGGGAGUUGAGUUUCAUGAUUGUUUUUCAAUUUACUUUUCAUGUAGUUAUUAUUGUCUUAUGACCUGAAUUUCAGGUUUGACAAGUUAACCAUAGUUAACCCGUAUCAUCCAAUAUAUUGUCGUCUCAAUAGUUUUUUUAAAAAAAUUUUCAUCCCAUUUGAAUCAAUGAUUAAGAUCAUUUUCUAUUAGAAAACAUGUUAAUAACAUCUAUAUAUUAUGUUAAAAAAAUAUAGUCGGAGUCGCAGCAUAACUCCUUUGCCUAGGAGAUACGGCUUCAUCUGCAUUUGCCAAUAUAGAUAAUUGGUAUUUGUUAAUUUGAGAGAGAUGACUUGGUAAGUGUGGGAGAGGGAGACAAUGUCAGUGACAGAGGAAGGCUGCAACAGAGGAGUGUUGUUUGGGUUGAAAAGAGCGUGACCACCAUCUGUUGGUUGUGGCCACGGUAGAAUAGAAGCAGAAAAGGAGACUGGUGCUACGGCAGAGGAAGAAACCAGCACCGGCAGUUUUGUAGAGAGGGCGGCAACGGGCGGCUGAGAAGAAGAGUCCAUUGAAGAGGAGAAGAGAAAGUGUUUUAAUUUGUUUAUGGCUCUGAUACCAAGUUGAGAAUAAUAGAAUGACUUGAGUUAUUUCUUAGCCAACCUUUCCUAUUUAUAUGUAUGCGACAGUACACUACAGUAACUAUAGGAAUCACAACAUUGAAAUAAUCGUACAGUAAUUCCUACACACACACACACACAUUUUAUACAUUCUAUAACAGUCAUAAGAAAUUCAAAUCUAGGAAUGGUUGUCAAUUGAGAUCAUAAAAUGGUUGAUAUAAAGAAACAUUUGGGAGGGAAUUUGGUGCUUUAUAUAAUACUUUAAUUAGCAUUGAUGACACUCAUAUGUAUGGUAAGUACAAGGUAAAGUUGUUAAUUGCAGUUGCUUAUGAUAUGAAUAAUAAGUUUUAUCUGUUAUGUUUUGCUAUUGUUGAAGAAGAAACGAAUAGUAAUUGGAGUUGAUUUUUAGAUUUACUUUGUCGAUGUGUAAAUGAAAUUCACACUAAGUUAUGUAUUAUAUUAUAUAGACAUGCGAUGAUUAAGAAUGUCAUGGCAUUUCAGGCCUGUCCACAAGUGCUUCAGGUCUAUUCACAAACUGGGAUGUUUUUAGAUAUAGUUAAAUUAUAUGAUUUAAUAUUAUAAGAAUUAAGCAUUUAGUUUAAAAUUAAUAAAAUGUAAUUUUUCUUACUGUUUUUUAUUAUUAAUUGUUAAUUUUAAUGAAUUGUGAACUUGUUGAUAAGAUGAUGAAUCGUCAAUUAUGUUUCAUAAUUUUAAAGUUGGGUUAUGAAUUGUGUAUUAUUUUUUUAGCGUAGAGAGUCUGGAAAAAUGCCUUGAACACAUUUCUUAGACAAGUCACUAUUGUCAUAUUGUCAUAUAUGAUUUUCUUUGGCAAGUUGCUAUUGUCAUAUUGUCUCAAGUUGCAUACGUUGAAUGUGACAUGCAAACCGCAAAUGAUGAUGACAACUCACAAAAUUGUAGUAUUUUUUUUUAAUAAUUAUUAGUUAUUUUUUAAAGUUUUUUCUAUUUAAUAAUAUAUUAAAAUAUUUUUAGUUUUUAAAAUUGAUUUUUAACAUUAAUAUAUUAAAAUGAUAUAACUAAAAGAAAUUAAUUUGAAAAAAAAUAUUUUUAAUUUUUUUUAAAAUAUCUUAUUCAUUAUCCAUCAUAUAAUCAUAUAAGGUAAGUAUUAUUUGAAAAAAUCUAACCAUUUAAAUUGGCUUGAGUUUAGAUUUUAUUGUCAUUCCUAUUAAUGAAUUAAUACUAAUAUGAAAUAUAGUUAAAAUUAAGUUACAAUCUUUCAAAUUGAUUUUUUUUUAAGAAUCUACAUUUGAGUACUUACAAUUUAAGGAAAAGGUUAAAAACUCAAGGAAACCAGGUGAUAAUUUCAAAAUUAGCAUGAAAAGUUAACUUUAGUCCUCCAAUUGAUACAUUUUAAGUACUUAUAAUUUCCAAAUUUAACUUUUGAUUCAAAAUUUGAUCUUCCAUAUUUAUAUUUAUAUUUUUAUUUUUUAUGAUAGGAGCGGAAGUCAUUGAAUUUUGGUGGAAGAGAGAGAAAUUAUCAUUAACAAUAAUUUCAACCAUAAAAAAAAAUUCAUAUUGGUGUAAAUAUAUUAUAUUCGUUAAGAAGAGUUAUAUUAUGGUUUUCUUUAGCCUUCACCUUCCUUAAGAGAGUAUAGCUAGUUUUGAUAACAAAAAAAAAAAAAAAAAAAUUAAGUCUGGUUGAUUGAUCAAUUUUUUUAGUUAUUUGAGACUAUAAAUAGAUUCAUUUAGAUAUUUAUGAUUUUUUUUUAAAGUGAUUUGGGGUCAAGUAGGGUUUUAAAAAAUGAGUUUUGAGUUAAAAUAUCCUGCAAAAACUUUAUAACGACACUCCGAUCAUCAAAUUCUUUACCAGCAUUGGACGCGUCGUUUGUUUUAAAAAAUAUAAUUAAAGGGUGGACAAUGCAUAUAUAGUCCACCCUCUAAUAUUAUAAAAAAAUAAAGAUAAGAACCUGAGACGCAGGUUGGGCUUGCGAGCCUCUGCGUUUUAGUUGUUUUUUAAAACAGCGGCUAAAAUUCACAGCACCGGAGUGGCGUUUCCUGUUUUUAAACGACCACACCGACACAUUUAUGGAAGGAAAGAAAAGUCAGGUACAAUUAAUUUGUAUCUGUACCACAAAAUAGAAAGGGAAACGUUUUUAGUAUAUUCCCUGAAAGUUUCGAUUAUGCUUAGCAAUAGGAACCUUACAUUUUUCUAUUACCACCACACAUUUCAGGCAUCCAUGCAUGCAUGAUUGAAAACUUUAUAUAAGAAGUUAGAGCUAAGAACAAAUCAGCAGAUAGCAGAACCAAAGCAACAGCCAAUAAACAUGGUGGUGGAAAGCGUUCUUUGCAUGAAUCCAGGAGAUGGUGAAACCAGCUACGCCAAGAAUUCAUUCCUUCAAGUCUCUCUCUCUCUCUCUCCCCCCCCUUCUCACCUUAUUCGUUACUACAUUAUUUCAUAAAAAUGUGAUGUCUUAGUGCAUUUAGUGCGACAAAUUACCCUUUUUUUUCCUUUCUUUUUGGUAGGGUUAGAACUUUAUUGUAAGUAGAGUAGACCUCGCGUAGCAACUUAAAUUCUUAAGUUAGGUAAGAUAAGCGAAGUUUAAUGAUCUGAAUCAAGCAAAUAGCCAUCGCUGCAUGCAUUUCCUUCUUCUUGGCAUCGCAUCUCACCAAAUAUAUUAGUAAUUCUGAUGUUGUUUGACAAUUCGUUUCGCAGAAAACAGUGCUAUCAAAAGCUAGGCCAAUCCUAGAAGAUACCAUCAAGGACAUGUUCAGCACCGCCCUUCCCACUUGCUUCAAACUAGCUGACUUGGGCUGCUUUUCAGGACCCAAUACUCUCCUGUUCGUUUCUGAAAUCAUGGACGUCGUUUAUGAGCUUUGCCAACAACAGAACUGUAAACUGCCCGGAAUUUCAGGUGUUUCUGAAUGACCUUCCAGGGAAUGAUUUCAAUACUGUUUUCAAGUCGCUGCCAUUUUUCUGCGACAAGUUUGGAAAAGAAAAGGGAGACUAGUAUGGACAGCCCUGUUUCAUAUCAGGAGUACCUGGUUCUUUCUAUCACAAGCUCUUCCCAAGCAAGAGAUUGCAUUUCUUUCAUUCCUCUAGCAGCCUACACUGGCUUUCUAAGGUUAUGUUACUGUCUUUUUUUCAUAAUUAUUAUCUCUAAGGUUAAUAAUGAUUUAUCCCAGUAACUGGAAUGCCUAGUUAAGAUAGAAAAAUAUCAAAGACGAACAAAAAUUGGUAGAGAAGAAGAAAAAAAAGAUGUUUAUAGCCAUUAUUGAGUUAAUAUGAAACCUAAAACCAUUCCUGAAAUCUCGUUUAUAACCGCUUAAAAUAACUACAGAAUUAAAGGCAAAAUAUAUAUAAAUAAAAGCAAUUGCUUGAAUCAAUACUAUAGAAUGUGCUGUUGUGCUUUAAAUUAGUCACGCGUGAACAUAUACAUGUCACAGCCUGACCAUAAAUUUUCAUGACAUUAGGUGCCAGAAGGUAUAUCAAAUAACAAGGGGAACAUAUACAUGCAUGGCAAAGGCAAGUCCUCCUAAUGUAUUUAAAGCUUACCUGGAGCAAUUCCAGAAGGAUUUCUCCUUGUUUCUACGCUUACGCUCAGAGGAAAUAAUACAAGGAGGACGUGUAGUUUUUACAUUCAUCAGCAGGAGUACUGACGAUCCAAGAAGCAAUGAUUGCUGUCUUAUAUCGGAGCUGCUAGCAAAGUCACUGCUAGACUUGGCAGCAAAGGUUAUUUUAUUUUCAUUUAAAUUAAGCAAGUUGCUUGCCUUGUUGGUUAUGGAGAUUAAUUAAUUGAAGCUUCAGGGACUUGUUUUAGAGGCCGAUAUCGAUACCUUCAAUCUGCCAUUCUAUCAUCCUUACGAAGGAGAAGUGAGGGAAAUUAUCGAAAUGGAGGGGUCAUUCGAUAUUAAUAAGCUAGAAACUUUUGCCAUUAACUGGGAUGCUAAUGAUGAUAUCAACAACAACAAUUUUGUGUUUGACAAGGACCAAUGUGGACGAAAUGUGGCAAAUAUUAUAAGAGCUGCUGCAGAACCGAUGUUGGUUAGUCAUUUUGGAGAUGAUAUAACGGAUGACUUGUUCAAGAGGUACGCAGAGUAUGUAGGUGAACAUCUGUGCGUGGAGAAGACAAAACACAUACACAUAGUCUUCACCAUGACAAAGAAGGAGUAGAUUCCAGUGUAGUAGAUGACGAGCGAAUAAAUUCUUCUGAAGCAGAAAUAAAUUAAGUAAUUAUCUAUGGAAGUAGUUUUGGCUCAUAAUGAAUAAAAACAGUACUGUGCAUGCAUGGAAAUUCUCUUUUUAAAUAAAACAUUUUUGUUCUCGUUUUGUUUAUUUUUUUAAUUAAAAAAAACUUGGAUUCAUCCGAUUUCAAUUCAAUAUCAAAGUCUCAAUAGAAUAGACUAGUAAGGUGACCCGCGCUACGCCACUAACUCACUUUUUAUUUUAAUAAAAAAAUCAUUAAAAUCCAAGAUCCAAAAGUAUUGAGUUUGGCUGUAACGUUAAACUUAAAAGCGUUGAGUCUGACUGCAAUGUCAAACCCAACAAUAAUAUUUAUAAUAUUAAUAAUAAUAUUUAAUUUGUCUGAAUUUUUUUUUUUAAUCUUUUAAAAACAAAUUAUGGUUUUUCUUCAAUAAUAAUACUAUUUUUUAAAAAUUUAUUAAUGAUGAUAAUAAUAAUAAUAAUUAUUAUUAUUAAUUUUACAAUGUAGAAUUAUUCCAAUGUUGUGAUUCCUACAGUUAAUGUCGUGUUCUGCCACAUAUAUAUAUAAAUAGAAAAGGUUGGCUAAAACUAAACCUAAGUCAUUCUAUUAUUCUCAUCACAGCCGCCUGCUACUUCUCCUUCUGCAGCACCGGCGGUGCCAGCUCUCUCCCCCACCGCAGCAUCCCUGUCUUCCUCUGCUUCUAUUCUGCCGUGGCCACUAAAAAUCAAUUUGAAUUGAUAAAACUUUUCAAGCUGAGAUCUACCAUCUCAAGUAAAGAUGAAGGCCAAAGAACUCCGCAAUGAAACUCGUCUCGUCAAAUGAAACUCGUCUAGUCAAAUAAAACUCGUUGACAUCAAAAUCAAUUUUUUUGUAGUGAGAAUGAAUGUGAACCGAUUACUUUCUCUUUCAUCGUCGUUUCAAGCAAAUUUCUCUCUUUUCUCUCUUAACUUAGUGAAUAAAAAAUAAAAAAAUAAAUUUUCAGACAAAAAUAAAAAUUAUUGCUAAUAUGAGGUGAGCAUAUAUUUUCUUGAUAUUUUACAUUUUAAUUCUCUAGAUCUAAUUAGGCUGUAAUUAAAGGGUUUAGAUAAAAAGAAAAAAAAAUCAACUGGUUCAUUGUUAUAAUAUUUUGUUAAUAAAAAAUACAUACACAUCAUUUUCACAUGCAAUUAUUAUUUUCACAUACUCAUCAUUUUUGUUAAUAAAAAAAACACAUCAUUAUUUUUGUAUUCAUGGGAGAGAGAUCCACUGAAAUCAAUAGUACAAGUACGAGAAUCCUUUAUUCUUUAUUCAUCAGAUUAUAUGUUGAUUUGACGCGCAUAAAGCAGUGGGAUCUAAUAACAAUGCCGUUCUUGUCAUGUAAGCGCCUAUAAUUAUUGCUUUAUUUCUAUGUUUAAAAACAAAUUAAAAAAAUUUUAAAAAUAUUAUUUUAAAUUAUUUUUUUAUAUUUUAAAAUCAUUUUAUUAUGUUAAUAUUAAAAAUAAUUUUUAAAAAAUAAAAAUAUAUAUACCUAUAAUUAUUUCUUUAUUUCUGCGUUUAAAUUUUUUUUGAAAGAGUUUAAUUAUUUUUAAAUGUUAAUGUUAGAAAUAAUUUAAAAAAAAUAAAAAUAUAUUAUUUUAAUAUAUUUUUAAAUAAAAAAAUAUUUAACUAAUGCUAAAAGAUUUUGCCACGAGAGAUCGCACAGAGCUGCGAUCCACCAGUACAAAGCAUCAAAGCUGGGAUCCACCUUACCUCGAUACAAUGAACCUUAAAUGAUAGCUGUCGCCUCUAAAUCUAAAACGUGAUAUUUCAUUAUUUUUUUAGCCAUCGCUGCAUGCAUUAAUAAUAAUAGUUGUUAGUGGUAUUGUGGAUUGAGAAGAUACAAUGGAAGAAAAGAUAGAUAAUGAGUUUGAGACUCAAGAUGGAUCAGAAAUAGAUGAUGGGUUUUGCAUGCAUGAACACAUGAUUUAAAAAUGUUAUUGAUUUUGCUUGAUUGAUGUUGACACUUGGGAUGUCACAAAUAAUAUUAAUUUGAUGUACUACCCAAAGAUAAAAACCGAUCAAGUAUUAAGAGUAAUAUCCUAGUACUUAAUUAGGAUUUAGAAGGGAUAUACCUCUUACCUGCAACCGAGAGGGAAUCCUACUUUCAGGUAUAUGUUUGUCAAUCCAAAUAAAGCAAUAUAGUGGAUUGUUAAAAAACUGAUAGGCAGGAAGUAUGGAUCGAUGUUGUUGUUAUUAGACAAACCAUCAUUGUAGAAGUAGUUUACCCCAUCCUUGGAAGGUUUUGAGGUUGUUGCCUUGGAGAGAUGUCAUGUCAAUCUCAUUUUUGGACAGUUGUGCAAUCACACUAUGGAGGAUUUAGAUUCAUCAUUUUCAAUGUAAAUUGUGCAAUUGCACUAGAAAGAGUUGAUCCCUUCUAAGGUAAUUUGUGCAAUCAUACUAGGGAGACUGAGUUCAUCACAUCCUUAGAAGGUUGGAAGGCCAUUGCCUGGAGAGAUGUCAUGUCAACGCUAUCUUUGAAAAGUUAUGCAAUCGCACUAGAGAGGCUUCAGAUUCAUCAUUUCAAAGGUAAAUUGUGCAAUUACACUAGAGAGACCGAGUCCAUCCCAUCAUUGAAAGGAUGAGAGGUCAUUGCUCUAGAGAGAUGUCGCGUCAAUCUCAUUCUUGAACAUUUGUAUAAUCACAUUAGGAAGGCUUCAGAUUCAUCCCUUCCAAGAUAAAUUAUGCAAUCAUACUAAGGAGACUGAGUUGAUCAUUUCCAAGGUAAAUUAUGCAAUUACACUAGGCAGACUGAGUUCUUCUCAUUCCUGGAAGGGUGGGAGGUCGUUGCCUUGAAUAUCACUUUAAAAAAGACAUUGUUAUUAUGAAUAAUGUAAUUCAUUUAUAAGAAAUUUACAUUUUUAGUCAUUAACCAUGUUACAUUUUUAUUGCCCUUUGAGGGAUAAUCAUCUUAGUGACAUUUCUUUUGAGACCAUAUUUUCAGCUUAUAAAAAGGACACAAUAAAGUUUAUUCAAUAGAUGUCUUUUGGUUUGUUGACAAGUGACCUCACAUGUUAUACGAUUUGAACCAACAAUCCACUAGUAUUUUUUUAAAGCAUUCCAAAAACUCGAGGCUCCAACUGCAUUCGUGAAAUUCGCAAAUGUCUGGCCUAAAUUUGGUACUCUUAUCAAGCCCAUAUGCAAAUAGAAAAAUCAUAUUGACUUAGGGAAAUUAAAUUUGAUGCCUAUCCUUUUUUUCUCGUUGAAGAGUUGUUAAAACUUUAAUGGAAUAGAUGUGCCAACAACUGUAGAAAGGCCCACGACACAUCUCAUUCUAGGAGUGUUUUGAUUAUCAUCCUUAGAUGGUGAUUGGGGACGUCGAUAAACCAAGCCUGAAAGAACUAUCGAUGGCUUUUUAAUCAGCUCCCCACAGAUGAUGCCAUUGAUGACAAGCAAGAAAAUCCAAAUAAGUUGAGAACAAGGCUUAUGUAUUGAAUAAUAGGUUAAUCUUUUAGUUCUAGCAACUCAAUCUCUUCUCCCCUACUGAAGUGGUUGGUAGUUGGUGCUUGAUACCUGUAUAAGAUCCUCUUUUAUGAGCUUGAGAACUCUCUGAUGCUUAAAUUAGUAUAUUUUUUUAGAGAAGAUGCCAUCAUAUCCUAAAGAGGUAAGCUCAAAAUAAAAAUGCAUCUAGAAAGGAGAUCCUACCUCCCUCUCUAUAUCGUAUUGCGAGAGAAAUAUUUCUGACUUAUUCAUAGGGAAAACAUCUCUAACUUGAUUAAAGAAAAAACAUCUCUGACUUAUCUGGAGGAAAAAUAUCUUUUCAUACUUGGGCUCAACGUUUGACUAACCCUAAAAGAUGUUGGGUCUGACAGGUUGCGAGACUCGUACAUGAUUGGGCUCAGCGCUCGGCUGAGCCCAAGUGAUGUUUUGGGUUAUUAUCUGGUUUAUGGUUCCUUUAAAUGAGAAUCCAACAAAUAAAAAAAAUAUGUUAAUCCAUCUAUAAGUAUAUACCAUCCCUGACAUUGGGGAUUAUUUAUGUUAUUAUUUCAAAUUAUUUGUUUUUUUUUCUUUUUUGCUAAUUCGUUAUCAAUUUGCGAACACUAAUUAUUUUAGUAUAUCCUCUCAAUUAUUAUAUUAAAAAAGUGAGUAUGUACCAUCAUUGACAAUGAGACAAACCUUUUUGGGUCACCAAUUAUUACACUCAUAGUUAUCAGACCCGACCCGGGGGUUGACCUGGCCAAGGAGCCGAGUCCCGGUUUACAUGGGUUGACCCGGGUCAACCCGGAAAAAUUUUAAAAAAAUAUAUUUGAAGUUUUAAUAUUUUAUAUGAAAAAAUUAAGAAACAAUCCAUGCGAAUAUAGGCUAUACAUGUUAUAAAUAAUGAAGUUUAAAAGAUUGUUUCAAAAAGUUUUUUAUCCCACAUUGAAAAGAUACUAUGUUAGUAUGUUAUCCUUUUAAGUUGAAGUAUUUAAACUAAAAAUUUUUUUUAUCUCACAUUGAAAAAACAUAACUUUUUCUUGUGAACAUAGAGUAUAUAUACUAAAAAGCUUCAAAUCUCACAUUGAAAAAAUAAAAUAUUCUUCUAGUAUUUAUAUAGUGAACUUUGAAAAGGGUUAAUAAUCAACUAAUAUAUAUAUAUAUAUAUAUAUAUAUAAAGAUUGGUCUUUGGCUAGGAGAAAAGACACAUUUGGGAAAAAACAAUCGGGUCUCAAUCGGGUUUUGUCGGGUCGUCCGGGGCACAGGUCAACCCGGCAAGUUAAUCGGGUUUUGCUAGGUUUUUGCUUAUCCUGGUCUUUUGUCUUACCCGGACCGGUCCAGCCACCAGGUCAACUGGGUUCCGGAUCUACCCACUAGACCAGUCCAGGUUUAAUAACUAUGAUUACCCCAACUAAGGAUAUCAAAGUUUCUUGAAUAAGUGUAAGUUUUAAAACCACAAAACAAUAAUAAGAGACAAGACACUUUAUAUCAACUUUUACAUCAAAGCCUUUUAUAGCAUAGAGCCAUUAAGCUAGUUGCCUAAAAUGUCAAAUCAACUUUUAACCUCGGUUGAUUAGAUGGUGGUCCGAAUAGGUUUCAUCUAUCCUAUCAUACCCUAGUAUAUAAUUUGGUUACUUUUAGGUAGUGUUUGGUAUUGUGAUUUAAAAGUGUUUUUGAAAAAUUUUAAUUUUUUUUUAAAUUAAUAUAUUUUUGAUAUUUUUAGAUUAUUUUGAUGUGCUGAUGUCAAAAUGAUUUAAAAAAAAAAUAUUAUUUUAAUGUGUUUUGUAAUGAAAAACACUUUGAAAAACAACCGUUACUACAUUCCCAAACACUCAUUUUAAAGUCUUUUUUACUCGGAAAUGUAUUAAAAUAAUAUUUUUUUUAUUUUUUUAAAAUCAUUUUUGACAUCAACGCAUCAAAAUGAUCUAAAAACACCAAAAAAAUAUUAAUUUGAAGCAAAAAAAAUAAAAAGUUUUAAAAUUUUCAAAAGUGCUUUUUAAACGCAAAAACAAACAGGAAUAUUAUUGUCAUGACCCGAUCCCCGAAUCCAUGACCGGCACAUAGGCAAGGUUCCCCUCCAAGGUUCCAUACCUAUGCGAACCCAAACUUACACACAAACUUAUCCUAACUCAAUCAGAGUUCAACGCAGCAUUAAUAACAAAAUCAACUUCAUAAUAUAAUGGAACUGUCUUAAUACAAGAGUUAAUAUGAUUUCAUAGUUUUGGAGCACUAACUAGACAUAAAGAAAAAUGUACAAAUUACAACCAAAAGAGCAGGUUCUGAAGGUCCAACAAAAAUGACCUACUAUCAAGCUAUAAGCCUGAAAAGGAUAAAUAAUGAGAUGGUGAGUUCAACAACUCAGUGAGUAGAUAACGUUCAAUAUACACACAUGAGGUAAUACAACAAUGAGAAAUAUAUAUACAAGUAUGGCUCUAGGUUCUUAUAGAAAGGUUUCUCAAAUUGGUCAUAAUAAAGAAUGUCAUAUGGUAAAACUCGUCAGAAAAUCAAAAUGUAAUGAGCAUGAGGCUCCGUACUGUGGGAUGAUCAGUCCACACAGAUUGGUGACUCCCCCGACCAACUAGGGUUCAGAUACGAUGUGUACAAAGACUAACACUACCCUGUUAGCAUGGGUAUUCUGACUGGCAUACCAUAGGUUCAUAAUCAUAAUCAAACAGACAUAUUCAUAUCUCAAGCCUCAACUCAUGACAUCAAUCAAAUGAGAAGCUAUCAAUUCAGAAGUCAAUUCAAAAUAUAUACUGGUUCAUAUCAAGAAUUCAGAUUUAACAAUUGAUCAUGCUUUAUCAUAACAAGAAUAAUAAUCAACAUAUAUAGUAUCAAGAAGCAUGAUCCAAUUCAUAUUAACAAAUCAAAUAUUUAUAAUAUUUCUCAUGCAUAUGGAAAAUUAUCCACUCACCUGACUCGAAAGCAACAAAACUCAAAGCUGAUAUCGAAGGAAAUCCUACUGACGUCCCGCCGGUAAAAUAUCAGGAUUAUCUUAAUAUAAAGGACACAUAUUCAAGAAUGACUCAAAAGAACAUAUAACCUAUUUAAUACACUUAUCUAAGGGUAUAUUCCAUAACCCUAUAUAUUUUUAGACUAAACUAGUUAUUUUUCUAAAAACCCAAAAUCUAACGGUUUUCCCGAAAUCUAAUCCAUAAUAAAACAAAUAAUAAAAUUGAUAAUAAUUCACUAAAUAACCCUUAAUUAUUCAUCAAACCAAUCUGCAAAAGCUAAUAUUACAGUUAGGGACCAAUCUGUAAUUUAUCAUAUUUUUAAAGGUCAAAUUGUAACUUUGUCCAUUUGGAGGACCAAACUAAAUUUGUCAUAAAUCCAAUACUAUACUGAAAUUCUGAACAUAAUUAAUCCUCAAUUCUGUCCAGAAUAUCUCAUUAUACUCCAGGGACCAUUCUGGAAUUUUACCAAACUUUUAGGGCCAAAUUGUAAUUUUUGUCAAAUUAGAGGACCAAAUUGAAAGUGUUAAAAUUUCAUAACUAUACAGGAAUUCUGCCCAUAAUUCAUAUUUUAUUCUGUUUAGAAUCUCAGAAUAGGCUCCAGGGACCAAUCUGUAAAUUUUCCAAAGUUUGUGGACUAAACUGUAAUUUUCCAAAAUUGAGGGACCAAAUUGAAUUUUUGUCAUCUUCAACCUCAAACCCAGAAUUUUCACAUAUUACCUACUGUUAUCCCCUGAUUUCUAACACAAAUUCACCAUUCAAACAAAACCAUAACUCAAAAUCAUCAUUUUUAUCUACAAUCUCUCAAAUUCAACUUAACAAUCCAUUACCCACAACAAUCAACCUUAUAACAUUCAAUUUAAUUCAUCAAUCAAACCCAAAACACAAAUUUUCAAAACCCUAACAUUCAUCAAAACUGAAAUUAAAGUUCAAUAACCCAUAUUUAUACAUUUAACAACCUAAAUCUUACCUUUAAACUUAUUUCCUCCAACUCCUUUCUAUUUCCCUUCUAAUUUCCCUCUUUUCUCUUCUUCUUCUUUCUCCCUUCUCUCUCCUGCCGAUUCUCUCUCAAAUUUUCAGAUCCCUCUUUUGUUUUUUUUUUCUUCUAUUUAUAUUUAUUAUGUUUAUCUAAUUACCACACUACCCCUCAUUCAUUUAUACCCACACUUUAAGCCACCAAGGGCUUUGUUGCCAUUUCCUAUCUUUUAAUACAAAAUAUUACAAUCUCCUCACCUUAUAAAAGUUUCGUCCUCGAAACUUAAUAGAAAAGAUUGAAUACUUACCGAGAUUAUCGAAAAGAUGAGGAUACUCCUCACGCAUCUUAUCCUCGAGCUCCCAUGUCGCUUCCUCACGUGAAUGACCUUUCCAUUUCACUUUCACUGAAGAUAUAUCCUUCGACCUAAGCUUCCUCACUUGUCGGUCGACUAUAGCUUCCGGUUGCACCUCAUAAACCAUAUCAUCUCUCAAUUAAAUGGGAUAAACCUCUAAUACAUGCGAUGGAUCUGACAUAUACUUCCUUAGCAUUGAAACAUGAAAUACCGGAUGAAUAACAGACAAGUUUGGUGGUAAUGCUAACCUAUAAGCAACUGCCCCAACUCUCUCCAGAAUCUCAUACGGUCCAAUGAAUCGAGGACUCAACUUGCCUUUCUUCCCAAACCUGAAUACUCCUUUUGUCAGUGAUACUUUUAAGAACACACAAUCACCCACUGAAAACUCUAAGUCACGCAUUCUUUUAUCUGCGUAACUCUUUUGUCUGCUCUGAGCUGUUUGAAGCUUAUUUCUAAUUACCUCUAUCUUCUCUGAGGUAAUCUGAAUAAACUCUGGUCCCAUUAGCCUCUUCUCACCAACCUCAAACCAACAAACCAGUGAUCUACACUUCCGACCAUACAAAGCCUCAUAAGGUGCCAUCUCUAUGCUAGCCUGAUAACUGUUGUUGUAAGCAAAUUCAACUAAUGGUAGGAACUUACUCCAACCAACUCCAAAAUCCAUAACACAAGCCCUUAGCAUAUCCUCCAAGAUCUGAAUAGUCCUCUCAGAUUGACCAUCUGUCUAAGGGUGAAAAGUUGUACUCAACUGCACUUUAGUACCUAUAGCUUCUUGGAAUUUCACCUAAAACCGCGAUGUAAAUUGUGGACCUCUAUCAGACACUAUCGAGAUUGGCACUCCAUGCAACCGUCCAAUCUCACUAAUAAACAAUUCCGCCAGUUUUGCAUAUCCAUAAGUAAUCUUAACUGGCAGAAAAUGGGCUGAUUUUGUCAACCUGUCGACAAUCACCCAUAUUGAAUCAUAACCCUUCUGACUCCUAGGUAAUCCUGUCACAAAGUCCAUUGUGAUCCUUUUCCACUUCCAUUCUGGAAUCAACAAUGGUUGCAACAAUCCAGAAGGUUUCUGGUGUUCACCAUUUACCCUCUGACAGGUCAAACACCUAGAAACAAAAUCUGCUACAUCAGCCUUCAUCCUAUUCCACCAAUAACACACCUUAAGGUCUUUAUACAUCUUGGUGGAACCUGGAUGCAUUGUGUAAACUGUCUGAUGUGCCUCUACCAUCAAUUCUCUCCUAAGAUCAUCUACAUCAGGUACACAAAGCCUAUCCCUAUAUCUCAGCACAUCAUCAUCACCUAUCACAAAACCUGCAGCCUUACCCUACUCAACCUCAUUUCUGAUCCUGAGUAGUGAAUCAUCUUUCUUCUGAGCUGCUUUUAUCUUAUCAAACAAAUCUGACUUAACCUGAAAAUGAGCAAUCAUUGCUCCAGCUUCACUAAGGUCAAAUCUGACUCCUUCAUCCACCAACUCAUGCAGCUCCCUAAUCAGAGGUCUUCAUACCUCCUGAUAUGAGCUAAGCUCCCUGAUGAUUUUCUACUCAAAGCAUCGGCAACUACAUUUGCCCUACCCGGGUGAUACUAAUACCUUCCCUUUACGCAACCAGUCCCUUCCCUUAGAAUCUCUAAAAGACCAGUUAGAGUUCCUAGUGAUCAAAAUACUAGGUGGCGACUCCUUUAUCCACAAAAACGAAAACAAAAAACGACCUCGAAAUAAAUCGAGGGUCGCCGCGACGCCGCGCUACUUCGCGAGGGUGUGACAAUGAUGAUGAUGAGAAAUAAAAGAAAAAUUGUUCAUGGAAACUUGAUUGAAUUGGUUUUUUACUAUUAAAAUUUUUAAAUAGAUUUUGAACAUGAUUCUAUUACAUAUAUGAUUUGUUUAGCUUUCAAUCACAUAAAAUAUAUACAUAUAAUUUUGAGAUUGUUUAUUAACUUGCUUUAACAUUUAUAUAUAUAUUUUUUAAAUAGAAAUAAUAAUUCCUAUUAAAACAUUGUAUUGGCUACGAUAAACAAAACAUAUGUUAAUAGAAAAAAUUAUAAUAUUGAUGAAAGAAAAUUUUAAAACAAUUGUAUUUUUUGGUUUAAUAACAAUAGCAAAAUAUUUUAUGAGACCUAUAAAUUUUUGUAUGUUUAAAUUGUUUUUGAAUCCCCGUAGCAUAGUGCGAGCAUACAAACUAGAUACUCACUAUAGCAGAAAGGCUCAUGCGCUUUGGCUGUUGUUUAAAGGUUAAUGCACAUUAAGCCACACAUAUGGCUUUUUUUAUGUUCUUUGAUAUUUUUUUACUGAUUUUUGUUUUUGGCAUGCUAGGUACCCAGGCUCGCAAACUUGGCCUUUGUUUUUUUUGCUUGACUUUUGUAAUUGAUUUUUUUUAAUAUCAUUCUUUGACGUUGAGUUUUUAUUGAUUCUUUUAUUAAUUGUUUUUUAUCAAUUUCAUUCCGCAACAUUUGAUUAUUUAAAAUUAAUCUUUUUUAAGUAACUUUAAUUUGCUUCUUUUUUUUUAGCAUUGUUUGGUUUAUAUGGGUUUUGCUCAACAAUUUAUUCUAUGUGAGUUAUAAUUUAAAAAACUUAUCUAGCUACCUCUGAAUAGUUGACCUUUUGAUAACCCUCUAUUUAUUCUAUGCAAAACUUACCCACCUCUUUCGGCUACCCAUUUAAUACCUAAGUUUCUUGACUAAGUGGACGUUUUAAAACCAGAAAACAAUAACACAUACGACACUAAUUAAUUAUUAUAUAUCAAAGCCUUUGAUAGCGUGGAGCCACUAAGCUAUUAAGCUCAGUACGUAGAUUAGGCGGUGGUAGGGGUGGCAUCUCUCCCAUCGUACCCUCAAGAUGAUGACACUGAAGGAGAGAUUCCGAUAACAUGUAUAUAUUAGCAUAUAACUAGGUUAUUUCUCGCGUUAUGUUAAGCGUCGGAUCAUGAAAUUUUAAAUGUAUCUUUAAAUUUUUGCCCCCGCUGUCUUUUUCCCGGUCUUCUCUCAGUCUCACCGUGAACUGCCGCCCCCAGCGUUCCCUCUCUCCAGAUCUCGCCAACCGGCAAGCAGCAGCCCUUCUCCAGCUGCACGCCCACAGAGCUGGCAGCGUCCACCCUCACCUCGGAGCCGUCAGCCACCAGAAAGAGGAAUAACUGAUCACAGAUCUAAAAAUUGUAAAGAACCGACCGGAGGAAACAGAUCUGAAAACAGAAAACAAAGUAAAAUCAAUUGUUGUGUGCGUUUUUUUGUUUGUUGCAG
rnacentral:lncRNA from 1 species